UUCAACAACCUAUUAAUAUUUUUGCAAUUUGUGGUUCGCAACCUGUCGAUGGAUCCUUUGAAAGAGUCUGUUGGGAGUAUCUGAUUAUCUAAGUAGUUCCUUUUCUAGUUACCAAAGAAAAAGUUUAGCUUUGUAUUUUCCGUAAUUACUGUUGAAGGCCCUUAGCCAUAUGUUAAUGUGCUUCGCUUGACCAAUUUAAGGCUGCCUGUCUUAGAUUCAUAGGUAACUAAAUUUUAAGUUACUUUUGCAUUCACUUGUACCAUUGACCCUUGUCAGCCAAGGGCUACUGACCUUUGCUGGUUCUCAGUCUAAUGUGGGGUGCAGAAGAUAUCUAAGGUUGGCUAGUCCCCCUCAGCCCUUGUGAAACUCUUGCUUUUGGGCUUCUUUCACUUUACCCCUCUGCAUAGCAUUCCUUUGUUCCGUAGUCUACUGAGCAAAAUCCUUGCGAUUUACACUUUAUAAUGAAUGCUAGUACAAUGAAAUCUCUAGGUCUAAGUUCUUAACCUUGCUAAUAAGGACCAAAAGCUGAUCUAGUAAGCCCUUGACAUAAGUAAAAACGUGUCACCCACUGCAUAUUCUCAUGUUUAAGUACAAUAAAUGCAUUACUUUUCUACUUUUCCAAUUAAACUUCUAGUUACAGGUGUUCUACUUUGUAUUUUGGAACCUUCCAGGUUAUUGCUACCAUUUGUGAAGAGCUACCACCAGAUAGUGUCAUGCUAUUGUACCUGUCAGCUACAGGUAAACUUUGAUUCAUACUUUUUUACUUGAUACAAGAAAAACAUGCACUAAUAUUUUGAAGUAUGGUGUUUGUGAUCAUUUCAGGGAAUGCAGGUCAUGGUAGUGCUUCAUCCAGCGAAAGCUCAGGAAGUUCAAGGAAAUCUUCAAAGUCUAACCACGGUUACCAUGAAAAGAGUAGCUAUCUGCGAGAUAACCAUAUUAAUGGCAUGGGCGACUCAAGUCACUUUUUUGAAAGUUGUUUGUGGUUAGGUCCUAGCAGAGAUGGAGGUGGGUUUUAAUGGCAAAAUCCUAUUUGCUUGCUUUUAAAAAUCUGUAGCAAUAGAUCCAAUUAUUUUCGUAUCAUUCACUUUUACUAAUGCUUGUUUUGUUUUCAGGUCCAAAUAACCUGUAUCCUGGUGAUAUAAUUCCUUUUACAAGAAGGCCUAUUUUCUUGAUCGUAGAUAGUGACAACAGCCAUGCAUUCAAGGCAGGUUUGUCAAAACUUUGUCUGUUACUUGUUCAACUCAUCUGGCUUAACGUUGACCUGUGGAAUCCGGUUCAGAUCGUUUAGUUUGUCUAAGUGACUCGCCGGAGAAGUAUGGGAUAUUUCAGAUGUUAGCAUCUGGUUUAGAUCUUCAUUUGCACCCAGAUCUUCAUUUGCACUGCUCCUUUUGAUCUUUCAGGAUUUUUAAUCUUUGAUGUCUACAUUAAUCCUUUCUCCCAAGUAGGGGUGGCAAUGAGCUGAGUUGAGCUCGAAUGCUGGUGUACUCGAGCUUGAGCUCAAAGUAAACUUCCUGAGCUCGAGCUCAAGCUUGAUGAACUUUAAAUUUGAAGCUCGAGCUUGACUCGUGUAAAAUAUAAGGAGCUCAAGCUCACUUGAGGAGCAAAUUGAGGUUGAGCUUGAAAAUGGUAAGACAUGUGAUUUGUUUUUAGGAGUGUAGGUUUUUAGGUAAUUUAAUAAUUAUAAAAAAUUAUAUAUAUACACACACACGAUGCUCAAAAAGCCCUGAGCUUUUGAGCAGAAUAUUUGAGGGCUCGAGUUCCACUAGAUAAUGGACUCAAGUAGCUUGAGCUUGACUCGAGCCCGGUCGAGCUCAAAAUUGACCAAGCUAGAGUCGAGCUUUUGAUCUAGCAGCUCAAUUUGUUGCCACCCCUACUCCCAAUGGCCCAAAAGACUCCUUAAUUAUCUCUGACCUUGUAGGAGGCUUAAAGUGUGUAACAUUUCAGUAUAUACUUGACAGGGUGUUGUAUUUGAGUGCUUUCCUAUUCCGUAUAUUUUUGCACUUUUUCAGAAACCACCAUAUCCCCCUUCCUUUUCCUCCCUUGUAUGUUGCUGUCAAGUCAAAACAUCCAGGUUAUCUAGCACUAGCUCCACUAGAAGUACCUAAAGUCAAACUUGACUUGAGCCUUGUUAGCUUCCGGCUUGAGCUGUGCUCCUGAUACAUUUUGUUACUGCUUGACUUGACUACUCAAUUGGAUUGAUCAUUUGUGUGCCUGAACUGAACUCAAGCUUGACUAUAAUCGAGCAGAUAUGAGCUUUGAGCCAAAUUGAGCCUAAGCUACUUGUUAGCUGCUCAUUACUGUUGUGCUGGUUUUGUUUUUCUUUUAAAGGCUUGUUAUCAACUGAAGGUGCUCUUAAAUUGAAAUGCUAUUACAUUGUACUGCUUUAUAUUCUCAUUUGACUGCUAGUUUGGAGUUGGAGUGAGAUAUACUUAUUUUCUGUUCCGCCUUUUUAAAUUGCUGACAUACCAAUUGCUCUCAGGUUCUACAUGGAGCAGAAAGAGGAGAAACACCUGCUUUAUUCCUUUCUCCCCUGAGACCAUCAUUUAAGAACCCAGCUGACAGUGACACAAUGCAUUUUGGAAGCCAGUUCACCUUGUUUCUAACUGCUCCUUUUCAGGCUUUCUGCCAAUUAGUUGGGUUCUCCUUAUCAGAUGAUGAUGUGGUGGGUGAGAUACAGAAAUGGAACCUCUAUAUUGUGGCUUACUAGUUUUCUGCAUUCAUUUCUUGUUUCUGUUUUUGGUUUUUUGUGCAUUAAUUUCUUGUUUCCUCUUUUAGGAUGUCCGUACUGAUGCUGACAACAUAAUCUCCACUGCAUUCUCUGAGUGGGAGGUAAUCCUUUGCACAUCAACAAGCCUACAUCUGGUCUGGGCUCAAGUUCUGUCUGAUCAUUUGCUUCGGCGUCUAAUUCUUAGGUCGGUAUAUAUAUACGGCUGUGCUUGAGAAUCUUUGUUUGUUGGUUACUUGUGAAGAAAGUGCAACUUUCCUGUGUAAUCAGUCACGCUUUCCAGUUCUCCUCCACAAAAAAAUUGUGAGAUUUCAGUAGAUAUUUUGGUUAAUGAGUAGAAUUCUUACCAUUCUUCUAUGGCUCCAUAAAAUUGUUUACUAGUAAUUAUCUGAAAUUAUUGAUUUGGUUGUCUUUGGAUCUCAUCCACUUGAUGAGAUUGUUGCGUCAAUUAAUAUCUUCUCCCUAACCAACAUUUAACCAAUUUCACAAGAUAUCUUGGAACAAUCAUUCAAUUGACAAGUACUUGGAAGCAUUUACCCCACAAAAUCAAAAAAAGAGUAAUUAGAUGGAAAAUACCAGUACACUAUUGACAUGCAUUAACAGCUGUAACUGGUUUUCACGAGAAAUCCCAGUUUGUAGCUGAAUGGUUCAAAGAAGGGGUGGCUUAUGGAGAGAAUGAGAAAAUGCUUGGGGUUAAUACUUUUGUACUUUAUUUGAGCUUGUGAGAUGGACUGAUUUUUUAUUUGAUCAUUGUUUGAAUGUGGAUUAUGACUGAUAUAAGGUUCAAUAUCUGCUUGGCAGAUUUAUUUUCUGCAGGGCUGUGCUGACAUUCUUUUGCUUACGGGAGAUGAGCGACCAGUAUUUGCCCGUUUGCUUACCUGAAUUUCCCACCUCUCUCUCUCCCUCCUCUGAGGUGGUGUUAUCAGCUGUCUUUCGAAUUGCAAAACACCUCAAGGUUGAAAGGUGUUUUAAUUUCCACGGUACAAGUUAAGGACCGAAAUUGUCAAAUCCAAGAAUGUACGAAAGGUAUACCUGCACUGUCUAUUAGCGUGGAGACUUGCCCUACUUUGGUGUCUUACAAUGGCUCUCGAAAGUUUGCAGUGUUGGCUUUUUUGUGAUGGGCUGAAGGGAGAUGGCACCAUUGGUCAGAUUUGGCCAAGAAGAUUGUGGGGUUAAUUGUUUUUGCUUGUGCUAUGGAUAUGAUCUAUACGCCAUGUGCAAAAAUAUUCUGGAUUUCAUUGUUGAUGUCGCUGUUGGGUUCCGUUUGUUGAUGGGAGUUUUUUAAGUGUUCAUUGUUAAGCACAGUGGUACAGUAGCUAGCGGUAUUACCCGGGGGGGGGGGGGGGUGUAGAGUUUUCAAUACAGUGGCGAAUUUAUUCAAAUAUCUUGUAAAAUAGUAGCAGGCAGAGAGUGAAUAGGUUUUUUUUUGGGGGGGGAGGUGGGGUGUUUAAAUUCUUUCAUUUUCCCAUUCAAUACAUAUGAAGUUCACAUGGUAAGCAGUUGUACAUGAAAAUAGAGUAUUUCCAAAAGACCCUUUUGUCUUGUUGGAUGAUUUUUGAGCUACGAUUCGUUAAAAUUUUCUGGAUCUGUUCUGUAUCUUCAGAUAUUGGCAACAUAUUUCAUAAUUUGGCUCUUCGAUGACUGACUACAUCCAGAAAACCAUCCACACCACACAAGAAUUCAUUCACGCUGUUCAUAAUUCAUUGCAAUGGCAAUCUCCGCUGGCAUGAUUUUGUGGUUAUGAACUGAUCUGGGGUCUGAAGCCAUCAAAUCUUUGAUCCCUGUGACAUUAUUUAUGGUUGAGUGCCCGAAAGGCGUGGACACAAUUGGUCACGGGGCGCCUAAUGCCAACUUUCCCGGCUUUAGUAGUUGGGCAUGCAUGAAAUCGUCUUAUAAGUGCAGCAGGAAUCGUCUUAUAAGUAGUGUUUAAUAACAUCAUCAAUAUUAAUCACAACUAGCGGUAAGAACAUGUCUUGGGCCAAUCCUUCAAUUUCCAACAACAGCGACUUACGAAUGAUGGGCUACUGUCAACAGUCAGUACUGGGCCAGGCCUACCAGAUGCAGUGUCCACUUUUUUUUUUUGGUUAAACAAAGGGCCUGGUGGUCCUGUGGACCUUAGUCGUCGGAAUUUGCUCCUCCAUAUAGACCAAUCUUGUGGUCCUUGAGGAUAGCUCCAAGAAACCUUGUAAGUUUUCACUUAUACAUGUGAGAGAUAGGAAGGUCAUUAAAAAAUUUAUUUAUAAAAAAUUUAAAAAAUUUUUAGAAGAAAAUGGCUUUCCAAAUAAAAUAAUAAAUUAACUUUUUAUACAUUAAUAAUGUAAUAAUUUUUUUUAUACUAACAAUCAUAAAUCAAAGUUACACGAAAUAAAAAAAUUAUCGAUCACCAUUAUUACAUAAGUUUCUAGUCUACUACUUGGAACAUUGCAUGCUUCUCGUCUAGCCAUUUUUUUUGUUUUUUUUUUCGGGUCCAUCUUUAUUUGUUUCUCCUUUAACAACUCUUACCUAUCAAACUAACCAGAAUAUCUAAAAAAUAUAUUUCUACAACUUUUAUUAAGGUUAUAAGAAAUUUACAACUUUUUGGCCCGACCGUGAAUUGGGCAUAAAUUAUGACACCCCAAUUCUAAUUCCGAACUAGUCAAAGGGCUCUUUACAUAAUAAGUAAAAAUGAACAAAUCAAAUUCAAAUCUUACUAAAACAAGUUUUUGAUCUUUAACUCGAUCCUACUUAAACCCAUUUCAACCAAUAGGACUCAACAAUUUCCCUUUCUCGAUCCGGACCUGCACCUCAAACUUCAAAUCUGAUCCGUCAACUUCAGCACAGAAAACACAACAGACGCCUUUAUUAACCGUCGGAUACCGUACCCAAAAAAGCACACGUCCAAUAAAUCUGGACCGUCCAAUCCCAUCAAAAGCCGACACCUCAUCAGCUAUAUAUACCCAUUAACCUCUUCUACUUGCAAAUUUUCCAUUUGAUUGCCCAAAUUUUACAGAGAGAGAGAGCUUUGGUCUUCCGAGAGAGAGAGAGAGGGUCUUCUUUUGAGAGGUUUGUUGUACUUCUUCUUUCUUCUUUAGAAAUUAAUAUAAUUUAUUUAAUAGUUUUGUUGGUUCAUUUUUGGUUGAUUUAUAGCAGUCUGAUUUGUAAUCUGCACGUGUGGUCAAUUAGGGUUCUUAUUUGCUUAGUUUUUUUUUUAAAAUUCGGUUUUAAAGGAUCGCCGCGUUAGGGUUAGGGUUUGUUGUUUUGUGGAUUGAUUUAUGUCUUCUCGGUUUGGUUAUGCGAAUUUGAGUUACGAUUUUUUGGUUUUGUGGAAUUUUGGUGAUAAAAAGUUAGGGCUUUUUUCUUGAGUUUUUGAAUUUGGGGGUUUUUGUUUGUUGUUUGAUCUGUCGAAAUUGUAGUCGAAUUUGAGAUCUUAAGGGGACACGUCUAUUUUUGAACUGGAUUGUGGGUCAACUUUAUGAAAUUCUGAAACAAACUUCGUCUUUUAUGGUUUCUUUUUUUUUUUCUCCCGAAAUUUUGGUAAUACGUAUCUGGCCUUUUGUUAUAGAAUUAAGGUUUUCUAGUGUGAUUCUAAGUUUAAUUCUGGAUAUAUUAAAUUGCAGAUGGCUCGUACCAAGCAAACUGCUCGUAAGUCAACUGGAGGAAAGGCUCCUAGGAAGCAACUCGCUACCAAGGUUUUAUUCUUGCCCCUUGAUCCAAGUUUUUAUUUCUCAUUUUGUGUAAGGAGGUUUGAUUCUUUAAUUUUGUUAUUAAAUUGGGCUUUUCCCCCCUCCAUUUUUAUAGGCUGCUCGCAAGUCUGCCCCAACUACUGGUGGAGUGAAAAAGCCCCACAGAUACCGCCCUGGUACUGUUGCUCUUCGGUAAGUGUGGUCUUUUAUUCUCUUUUCCUCGUAGUUACUGUUUGCAUUUGAGUAGUUCUUGUUUAGGUCUUUUAUUUUAUGUGAGUAGAAUUUUUUUGUUAAGUCUCUAUUUUUAGAAUUGUCCAUGUAUGGUUGUAAUUUGGCAUGCUUUUAUGAUGCAGUGAAAUCCGUAAGUACCAGAAGAGUACUGAGCUCUUGAUCAGGAAGCUUCCUUUCCAGAGGCUUGUCAGAGAAAUUGCUCAGGACUUCAAGGUAAGUGAUAAUUUGGGAUUGUUUUUCCUUCUCUCAUUUUAUUUUGGGGAAAGUGAUUUCCUGAAAGUGCGACUAAUUGUUUGUUUUGUAUGCAGACUGAUCUCCGUUUCCAGAGCCAUGCAGUCCUUGCAUUGCAGGAGGCAGCUGAGGCAUACCUUGUGGGUCUGUUUGAGGACACAAAUCUGUGCGCCAUUCACGCCAAACGUGUCACAAUCAUGCCCAAGGACAUUCAGCUGGCAAGGAGGAUCAGGGGCGAACGUGCUUAAGCUUGUUUAGGGUCCUCGUGUAGAAUGGUAGCUUUGGUGGUGUUUUUUGAUUUGUUCUCAAGCAAUAUUAUAUAGUUGGAUAGGACAGAGGCUUUUGCUUACUGGUAGUUGAUGGUGGCUAUUAGGAACUCGUGGUAUGGUGGCAUGUGUGCAGUAGUAUGGUUAUUGUUCAUGUUUUGUGUUGGGGUUGGAUGGCAAGAUCGACUUAUAAAUUCUUGUAUUUUCAGUUUGGUGAACUGCAUGUUGUCACACAUCUGGUGUUGAACAGCGUUUCUCAUUUGAUCUAAUGUAGUUUGGUAUUUUGUUGUUAGUGCGUUGUACUGUUCUAGGGAUGUCGUUAGAUUGUUCUCACUUGGGUAAUAAUUUAUGUUAACUCAGCCGAUUUUAUUGGAUUGGUGGCAUUAUGCUUUAUGCUUAGCUGUAAAAUUUGCUUGAAUGGGUAUCAAGAGCGUUUCCUUGUGUUGAGUUUUAAGAGUAAUUCGUUGGACGUUCCGGGGCUUUUGUUUUGUAGCUUUUUUGUUUUUUUGUUUUUUGUGGGAAUCUGGAUUGGAAUUUUUGGGGGAGGGGGAGAUUGUUUAAAUUGGAAUAAGAAGCAAGAUGGUGGGCAUUUAUUAUUUCUGAUUAAUUGGAUCUGUAGUGUGGCAAGUCUCGGUUGGCGGCCCAAAUUUGUUGACGGUUGCGGUUUCGUGAUCUGUCGACCUGCACUGGUUUUGUUAAUAUAAAACUAGCACACAUUUGGAAUUCACGUUAAGCAUUUUUAGCAUUUGGAUCCACUGAGCACCAAUUUGACAUGAAAACCCUUUAAUAUUUACUUGAUGGGUUUCCUUGUAAUGUCUUGCAAUAUUUCCGAAUUCAAGUUUUGAGACAAUAUGUGCGAUUUGCCUUGCUCUAUUCACUUAAUCAGUUGGUUCCGUUCUUUAAAGAAAUCUUGAGCAUAUCAAGUGUAUGAUAUAUAUAUGUUAAUUUCCGUUCUCAGCUGCGUAUCAUUCCUUGUGAAUGUCUAAUUCUUCAACACUUCAUGUAUAAUCCCAUGGAGGUCUCGGUUAUUUUAUGAUCAAUCCUAGAAGUACAAACCAACCUAGAAAUACCAGAUUUAUGCAUUUGAUGAUUCUUUUGCAAUUUUGAUUAGCAUGAUAUGAUUUUUGUGGUUAAUUCAUGUGAGAAGUGUUCAUUAACAUGGCCUUUUUUUUUUUUGGUCGGGAUUGUUCUUGAUUUUGACAUUUUGCUCUUUGAUGAUUUGUCAACUUGUUCGAACUCGAUUACUUGAUGAAAAUCUCCUCCUUGAAAAUAAUGAAAUUAUUCGUGUAGUAGCGCUAUCUUCUGCUUGUGAUACUCUCUAUUGACUUCUAACUUUAGCGUCUAGUUUGAUUGGUUUUCAUUGAUGCACUGAAAGUAUUAUGAAGUACACGGGAUAAUUUUUUGCAAAGAUGUAGAAAAUAAUUGUAGUAGCGGUGUUAUGACAAAUUGUUUCUGUAAACCUUUAUCUAAACUUUUGGCUUAAAAGUUAAUUGCAUAGCUUGGAGCGUGAGGUUUGAAAUCUAAGUUCAAAAAAAAAAAAAAACCGUGUCAACACUUUGCAAUAUAUGUGCCAGGGCAAUUUAGGCAUGCUCUUUGUUUGUUGUUGCUGUGGUUGUCGUUGGGUUCAACAAUUUAGGUAUAUUCACCAUCAAAUUUAACCUACGAGCAAUGGAUGAUAGGAAGGAAGGAAGAGGGACUGUAAAUUAGAAUCACGAUUUCGAAUCCUUCCAUUUACGUUACAAAAAAAAAAAAAAAAGGAGAGAAACAAAGAAAGUAAUAGUUGAAACACUGCGCUACCUGAGGCCCUAAAGGGUACUUGUUCAACAUGGGCCGUUAUAUAGUAGUUAGCCCCAUAGCCAUACUCUUGCCCACAGACAUCAAGUCCGAAAGUCAAGAGAUGAGCUCAGAGGCGUACAAUAGUGGGCCCCUUAAUUGUUAUACUGACAAUCAGUCAUACAAAAAAUAAUAAUAAUAAUGGGCCUAUGGAUUAGAUUGGAAUCAGCUGAUAGCCCGAAAGUUGGAGGUGUCUUCAAUUUCAUUAAUUUAAGAAAUCAAUAUUAGCCCACAUGUGGUUGAACAAAAAACAAAUGCAAAAGUCCACCAAUCUCCCUCAAUUUCUCUAUCUUCUUUUAUGUCCCUAAGUCCUGGUAAGAGAUGAAGUGGUGCAAUUGAAAUUUUAGAGGGACAAUUUGAGAAUUGAGAUUAGUAGAAGUGGGUUUGAGAAUCUGAGAAUUUUAGAGGGUUUUGUAAUUUACAACAUCAUACAUAUUAAAAUUCCAAUGCAACCUUAUUAUCAGUCCAUAGUCCAAAUUGAAGUAUCAAACUAAUACCUUGUUUGGUAAAUAAGUUUUUUGAGUAUUUGUCUAAAAUUUUACUGUAACAUACUGUAAAAAUUGUAGGAAAAAUUUUUAAGAUGAAAAACUUUUUUUUUUCCUUUUUCUUUCUUUCUUCUUCUCCCUUCCCUCCCCCGCCACCACUCUCUCCGACGCCAAAAGAACCAGCAGUAAACAUGGAAUUUUUUUUUUUGCUUUUUCUUUCCCCCUCAUCUCCCGCACCCUCUCCCCCACCACCCUCCCCUUCACAACUAGAUUGUAGCCGCGAUUUGGUCACGUGACCAAAUUGGGCAAAGGGGGAGGGGAGGAGGAGAGGGAGAGGGAUAAGAGAGAAACGAAAAAAAAAAGUGGCCAGUGUCGGAAGAGAUUGCUGGCAACAAAACUGGCAACACCUAGUCUUGGGCAGCGGCGAAGGUGGUGGUGCUUUGAGGUGGAAGAAGAAAGGAGGAAGAGAAAUUUUUUUUGUAUGUUUUGAGUAUUUUGAAGUGUGCAAGUUAAAAAUUUUGAAAAGUUUUUUAAAAUUAUUAUAGUUAAAGUUAUUAAAAAAUUCAAAGGAGACAAAUUUGGACAAAAACUCAAUUGCUAAACAAGCCCUAAAAAUAAUUGGCAGACAGUUUUAAAAGAUAGAAGCAAUCCAAAAGAGAUGCGAGCUUGAUUAGGACCACAACAACGUAUCAAUUCAGUAAACUCCCACACUCUUUACAUUUCUUUCUUGUUCCCUCUCUUUAAGCUCCGAAUAUGAUUGAAACUCAUAAUUACCCUACUUUCCCUUCUAAAGAACUCAUUCUUGUCAUAGGCCCUGCUAGCCACAAAUUAAAGCUCGCCGGUUAUCGGUUUAUUUAACUAGCUAUUUCCCUUUUUAUUUUGGUGUAUAAUUAAUUGUUAAGUACGAAUGGGAUUGUACGUGAUUAUGUUAUACAUUUUCUACUGUUUGUGUCCGCCAAUAGACUAAAACCAGAGUUAUGGCACAAACUAAAAACUAACCAAAGUACACAUUGAUUACCCGGCAAACUCUAACCAUAGUUAUGUUUGACUAUUCAUGAAGAUAAUCAUAUACAGAGAAGUCACUAUACAACAGAGAGCCAUCUGCAUAGUGAAGCAUGUAAUAGCAAAGAUCACAGAAAUAGCAAGGAUUCUCCUGUGCCCAUUUGUCAUCAACUGUAACCUUAGUCGCCUUAUAAAUGUUGCAAACAGAGCAUUUCCUAAAACGUACUUUAGAUUGAAAGGUUAUCAGUGGAUAAGCAGCUCGGUUCUGUACAUCCUCUGGGUGGAUCAGCCUCAUGUCUCUGAUGACAAUUAGGUGUUUGCAAUCCCCCUUGAGCACAAUAAGAUGAACAAAAUCAGUCCAUGAGAGAGACAACUAAACACUUGAACACGUGGGACAGUUAAAAAGGAAUCACAGAGAUGGGCAAAUUGGCAGAAAACAGAGGAAGGAAGAAAUCAUGAAACAAUCUUAUUAACAUGAUGAUCAUGAUGGCAUUGGUUAUAGGAAGGGCAGUGAUUGCUGGUGGGGGAAAAUUUCCUACGACUAAGACCAACUGGGUGUUAGUCAUGGAACUGGGAUUGCCACAUAAAUCUCAGUUGAAUUUGUUUACUGUAUAGUUUAAUAGUGUUUUCUUCCGUGUAAUUAGUCUGCUGACUCUUUGUAUAAGCAGGUUUUCUGAUCAAUGAAAAGCAAAUAUUUGCUCAAAUACAAAAAUUAUUCAUGAUAUUUUGAGCAGUCAUCUCCCAAAUCUAUAGCAUGAAAUUACAAGUAUGAAGUAGUGCAACACAAAGUCAGCAGGAAAGUAAGUAUUCCAACAAUUUUCUAAUUUCCCUGAACACACAAUUCUGAUAAGGCAACUAUUAAACAGAAAAAGAAUAACUUCUAGAAUGAUUAUAAAAAUGUAUACCUGGUGACAAUAGAGAUAUCCAGCACCAAGUCGAAAUCCAAGGUCACAAAAGCGAGUUUUUUGCAUGUCAACAACUUUGAAGUGUGGUAACUGUAGUUUUUCGUUGCUGUCUAGAAAUGCCUUUCGCUUCUGGUGCUGCUGUUGUUCACCAGCUACAAUGAACUCCCAUUUUUCAAGUGCAACAUUCCUAGAGUGUUCAAGCCACUUAAAAAUGGGCUUACUGUAAUCUAUAGCAUACGGAUCCCUCGUGUCAUUGCAAAACACAUCCUACCAAAAGUACACUUCUCUUAGAGUGAGAAAUUGAAGAACAGCCAAAGGUUUCAGUAAUGAAGAAAGCCAAUGCACUUACUUCUACCAGGAAGUAUCCAGAUGCAUCAUGCUUGCCAGCCUUUUUCAUGAUCUCAUCGGUCAAACAAUAUAUCAUGUCCCUCACUUCAGUCAAAAACUGUCGCCCAAGAACCAAAAAUUCUUGUGUCUACAAAAUUUAUUGCAAAAGUACAAGUUAAAUUCAGCAGGAAGUAAAAGCAUGAACAAAAAUCAAUCAAACAGAUUCUGGCCCCCACCCACCACCCCUGAAAGGAGGGAGGGACAAAGGGCCAAAAAAGACAAUCCCAAAUCCAGAUGAAGCUCUGAAAACACCAGAGUCCAUGAAAGUGAGAGUAAAGUGCAAUUCUAAAAAAAAUUACAUUGAUUUUAUUAACAAAGUGUGAUUCAGAAUAAAAUAAUAAAUAUAAAUAUCUUUUGACAGACCACUUAAGACCAUUUUCACAUGCAACCAGAACUACAUUUGGUGAUUUAAGACAAUUUCGUAGGUUAUUGGGUGCCUAUUUCUCAUUGCAAGAAAUAACAUACAAGAAGCAGUGUCAGAGUUCAAAUUCAAUACUCAAUUUAACAAAUUAUGAAUUUACUCUUGAGUGUUCAUAAUCAGUAAGUUCCGACUUUUCAAGUUCAAAUGGUAAGUACUAAACUCAGAUUUAACUAUCUCAACCUCAAUUAAUAUUCUGUCUUUGAAAAGGAAAAAGAGUUUUCUCCUAUCAUAUUCCUCUUUAGAAACUAAAAUAAUGCACUUCUUAGGGAAAACUGGCAUAACGUUUUAGUUUACAGUGAAAACUAACCAAUAGAAAGAAAAAUAAACCAAAAAGAGGGCAGAACUCCCAUGAGUUGGCUGCUAUUUUUCAAGGAUAUAUAUUAGGACUACAUAACAUAAUUGAUCAAAGAUUGAGAGCCUUGAGAAGAGAUGUCCAGAACAUUGAGCUCAGGACAAGGCAUUAUUUUCCCUUAAAGCAAUCAAGUGGCAAAUUACAAGAUGACCAGCAGAGAGAAAAUUAAAAUAAACAGAAACUCAAAAAGUCAAAUAAACUAGAAUAAAGAUCCAAAAUAUUACAACUGCUAUAGUCUGUGUAAGCUAUGUGUGCAUCUUGUUCAAUCCAGCUAUUCUUAAUUCCAUUUUACUGUAAAAAUAGUCUCACCAAGACAUGAAUAAGAAGCACUUGGUGAAGAAUGGAGCAUUACCCGAUCAAAAUAAUUCUCCAAAUAAAACAUAAAAGGCAGUCCCGUAGCAUGAUGCUCAGGUAGGGUUUGAAGGACCAAACUUUACAUAUUGAGAGUACAUGCGAGGUACUAGAGUUAGAAGCUCCCCCAAAGAUACCACAAGGCAAUAUCAAAAACCUAAAUACACUUAACUAACAUAACUAAAUGCACCAACCAUGCAAUCAGAUGGCACAUAACCAAUUGCAAACAUUUACAGCAGUAGAAUGCUGGUUACAAGCACCUAUAGGAAGACUCUGAAAUUUGUACUGCAGAAUGUGCACAUGCGUGCACACACACACAUACGUAUAUAUAAAACCAACUAAGUAUCAGAAUAGGCAUGUUACUUCACAUUUAAUCUGGUCAAUAGCUCAAGUAAUAAUGGAAUAGCACCACCUCGAUAAGUUGGAACCACAUAUGAAAUAGUAUUAAUGACAAAAAUCAACUCUAGGUUAAAAAUCAUACCACAAACAGCCAAAGUUUUCAAGAUUUUGGAGGUUAAUUGACAUUACAAAUCACAACAGAAACUUAAUGGUAUAAAUUUUUCCUUAGCACAGAAAUCAAUGAUCAACAGAAUAGUAACAUGGCACAAGUUGCUUUCUCUGCAUGAAAGGCUACCAAUAAAUUAUUUCUAACUGCUGAAUAUCUGAUGUAUGAGCAAAAUAAUUUGUCUAAUUUGGCGUUUUAUGUGCAAUGAGACAGGAGAAGAUAACAACCAUCCAGUGCUCAUUUUACAAUCGGUUAUAAGGGUUUGUAAGUGACAUUUAAUCUUUUCACAUGCACAAGGUUACGCCAGAACAUAUGUAUGUAAAUUGGUUGUUGAGAUUACCAUGGAGAGAGGAAGAAAGAGCUCUAAAAGAACUGAAAACUGUUUGUGGAGAACGAAAAGUCAUGUUCAUUUUCACUUUCAUUUUUGGGCUUAUAGAAUCCAUCUCCACUUUUAUAGAUACCUGGUUGGACAAAUUUUUUAAGCAACAGAUUUCUAUCUCGUGUGCCACUUGUCUAUUUAUAGUGAAAGGGGAUAAAAAAAACAAAACAAAUGAAUCCAUUAAUUUGGUCCAUCUAAAGAGAUAUGAUGAUUAAAUGACUAUGCACUAUGUAGUAGUAUUUCACCUUAGACCAUGUUCGUCUGUUAUGGUAAACCUCAAGGCAGAGAAUGACUUCAGGAAAAUGAACUGGAACUUGCUCAGGAGUCUUGGAUGAUCCCACCUACAAUAAAUUUGAUAGGAAUUUAAGCUAUCAAAACUGUGACCAGUUAAAGCGAUAAAGAAUAUGAUUAGUUUGCACCAACUGUCAGCAUAGCUAGACCUAGAAUACCUAUUAUCCAUAUACAUUGGUAUACGCAUAAUCUUCAUGACUGCCAAAAUUAAAUAGAUCAGACCACUUUAUGUGUAUAGUCCAACAAUUUUCCAAAAUGGCCUCUAAAUUAAAAACUUAAUAUAUUACUCUUGUACUUAUAUAAGCCUUUCCUUUAGUUAAAACUCAAUCCCUAUAUUUGGUAUCUACACUAUGCAAUAUAUUUUCUUAUUACAAGCUAUUUAUGGUUAAAAAACAUUAUUUUUACAAAAAAUCCAAAUUAUAACAAGAAACCAUCUUGUUAAUGAUUAUAAAACAGUACAGAAGCUUCAUAGCCACUGACUGCUUGAUCCAUAAAAUUACAAAAAUAACUCUAUCUUCUUGAUCAGGUAUACAAUGGAUUGCAAAAGCAGAUAGUGCACAAACAAGUGCUUAGUACUGUUCGAGCAAAAAUUACUUUAACCUUCUCAUGAGACUUGCUAAUCAAGUCAUGAUGCACUAACUUAGAUGUGCGUAAACAUUAGACUAGAUUUUGGGCCUUUCACCAACAAAAUAACUCAAAACCAUCAUGCUCUUAGAGCAGGUUAAAGCAUUAACAAGAAACAAUUUGACAUAAAAUCUGCGAAUCUAAGCAUAUCCAUGCUAGUAAUCAUUUGGACGUGUAAACAAAUCCACUGUACUAUAACUAGGUACCUGACUAUAACCUUAAGCAUGCAUUCCCUUCAUUGCUUACAUUGCCAUUUUCAUUAUUAAAUUAAGAACUGUUUAAUACCACAGAAAUUCUCUGGGAACACAAUUAGGCCAAAACAGAAGUAAACAUAUAUAUAUUAUAUAUAUAAACGUAUAUGUAUAUCUGUAUAUCUGUAUAUAUUUGUAUAUGUAUAUGUAUAAAUUAAGCAAAACUCUAAAAAUAAACUUUAAAAACACAUCUAAAUAAGUUUGCCUCAGUAGAGGAAUGAAAACAGAACAUUUUUCUCACAUAGCAAACAAGUCUAAUGUUCACUUGCUCCAAUCUGCAGGGAAAAUAAGCUAAAAACCUGAAGUGGAAAUUUAGCUUUAUUCAACAGAAUACUAAAUGAAAAAAAGGAAAAACCAAAUGCUUAAAGUGUCAAUUGUGGAUAGACACUGCACAGCUUCAGAUACACAUCAAUCAGUAAAAGAAGGCACGUACUCAAGCAAACCUUAGGUGAAAAACUUGUUGACUUGAGUGACGUCAACUUGUCAUUCUUUAUCUGGGAACUAGCAGCAGAUUGAUUUCUGCAACUACCACUGAAAUGAAACAAAAAACACCAAAGCUAAGAUGCAAAUCAGAAAAUGCAGCAAUCUACAGGGAUUGUUCAACAAGGACGACCAGAGCUAAGAAAGAAUGCAAAUUUUAACCAGAUAGUCAAAGUUAAAAGAUGCCUACUUGAAUGAAUGCAAUCUUGCUGCUGUUUUAUCUUCAUCUUGUUUUUGUUUAAUUUUUGCGAGUUCUCUCACCUUUGCAACAUACCCUUCCUGAAAAUGCAUCAAAAUUUCUUAAAUCACAUUGAGGUAAAAUUCUCCACAAAAAUCAAGGGUUGAAAUUGGUAAAAUGGCAUCCUCAUUUGUGUAAAUAUUUUUCCAGGUUAGCAUUUUUCAGUCCUAAAUAUUUUCGCAAAGAGGUAAAAUCACAUCCUUUUGUUUUGCUAAUUAUAUGGAUCACAUUCAGAUCCCCCAACUAAACAAUCCAGAAUGUCAAAUUCAUCUUAAGUAUAUCAACAUGUCUAGCCCUAGAGGAACAGCAAAAGGAAAGGCACGUAUUUCUUAAGCAACCAAAUUCUAUCAAAUGGUGAACGUUUAACAUAACUUUCAUCUGGAAGCAGAACAAAUGGCAAUAAGAAAAAAGAAAUUAAAAAACCGGUAGCAUACUUCAAGAUUAACUGUUUCCCGAUUCACACGCCUCUUCCUCUCUCUCUUUUCCGACACAUUAUCAUUUGAUACUGUCUUUUUGACAUCUCUGGGAGCACCAGUUGAGGAGCCACAAGUAACUAAAGUAUCCUUUCCUCCCUCCAACCUAGUAACAUAAAGAGUUAGAAUAGCACAUGCAUUGCCAUCAUCUGGUUCCCAUACAAGCCUAAGGAGGCUAAAUACAUAAAGAGGUAGUAUCUGAAAAAAAGAGUGAGAAAUUGGAAGUGGUCAUAAUCAAAACAAUCAGUGGCCUUACUUAAAAAAGAAAAAAAAAAGAACAAAGCUAUGCUGAGAAAGUAGAAACGCUCUCAACACUUGGUAUUGAAAUUAAUAAGUAGCUCUCAUAGAUUAAGAAAUAAGUAGCUCUCAGAAGAGUUUUGCACACACAAAGAUGGCAACCAUGCGAAAGUGUCAAGUGAUAAUACAGCAGUCUAUUGCUUUUUCAUGAACAGAAAUUGCUCCUUGUACUCUUCUUAUUAAAAGAUCAGUAAAGAAACCUUCCAUUUUCCUUUCCCCUUUUAUAUUACUCAUAAGAUAUCACUAAGAUAAGCAUGAAAUGUGUGAUGUGUGAUUCUUUAUAGGAGUUUAUUGUCGAUUUGCUAUAAUUACAACACUCAUAAGAUAAGAUUUUAAUUUCCACUAUUUCUUGUAAAACUCUGAGAAGAAUAAGAUAGAGUUUUGAGAGUUAGUUUGCACAAUCCAGAUAUGCAAACAAAGUUGAACAGAAACCACUGAUUGACAUUAUACAUAAUGCCUUUUUUAUUUUAGUUUUUUAUAAGUUGCUAUGGUUCAGCUGAUAGAAAAUUCUCAUUCAACUAGCAGCAGAAUUAUAUGAUUCUAGGGAUAGGUUUGAAAAAUUCACAUUCAACUAGCAGCAGAAAUAUAUGAUCUUAGGGACAGCUUUGGAACGGUAGACAGUGACUAUGAAGAUUUCUGCAGUUAAGAAAACUGAGCUGAACUAAAACUAAUGAGAUUCACUUUAUCUACCUAAAAUUUUCAUGAGGAUCCAUAUGCCUUACAGUAUCUCUAAUGGGCAAGCAUUGCAGUGAAAUGACUUCCAAAAAUCUUGUUGAUUUUAAUCUUUCUUAAACCAUUUAUGUACAAAACCACACAAAUACGUAACAUCUCAUAACCUAAUAUGUCCUUCAUAUUAUGACAGUCCUAAAACUAACCCAACUUUUUCCGCACCACAAUCCCAAAGACUUGUGAUGACAUCUCUCAAACUUCCAUUCAUCAGUAACGCUUCCCUUCCCCGGUCAACAAAAAGCAAAGUAAGAAACUACGGUAUUUUACCAUUCAAGCUAGUAGAAAACAUCAGAUAAGCUUAGAAAGAAGCAAAAUCAGCAAGAAGAAAUGAAAUGUCCGCUAACCUUUGACACGAUUGCUCCUGGGAUUUUUGUGCAAUAUUCUCUUUCAGCUGCGCAUCCUAUCAUUAUCCACUAAAAGUUUUAAAGAAAACAAAACCUAAGAAACUGGAUAAUUCUGAGAAAUUACAACUCAAAACAGUUUACCUUUAAUGCUUCCUCAAAAGCCCGAUUUACCAAAUCCUCCUCCUUAAUUAUUUUAAGAUCAUUAACGCUGCAAGUCAUUAAAAUAAGAGUAAGCAUAACUAAUAGAACAUUCAAAUCAGAUAUCUUCAUUGUUAAAAAAUGCAAAGCAACCACAACUAAUUCUAAAUACAUGGGGGUGGGCACCAGGGGAAGAAAAAACAAGACUGACCAAAUUUCAUCAUCAGAUAUGUCGAGCGAGUCCCAACCAAUGUCUGCCUUGAGAUUCUGCAUUAAAAGACAAAUUCGUCUAAGUUUGACUACCCAAAUAUCCCGAACAAUUUAAAUUCCUAAAACAAAAAGACCAUUAAAAAGGGCAUUCUUCAAAAAAAAAUAAAAUAAAAUAAAAUUAAAAUUGCUCUCGAAAUUUAUAAUUGAAUACAUGCAUACAGCAAAAAAUUCCAUAAAAUCAAUCAUCAUAGUGAAAUGCUUCCUCUAAAGCAACCUUAAAAAAAUCCUUUCUUCUGUACAUUGUCAAAUACUCGCCAAAUAUUACCAGCAAGUAACCUCAAAAAGUAAAAAAAAAAAAACCCAAUAAACAUUCAUAAACAAGUAAAUAAACAAAAAGGUCAAAAAAAGAGUAAAUAAACAAAAAAAAAAAAAAAAAUUUCCGUUUCUUUGGGUACCUGAAGUUGUUCAAAUACAGAGCUCUCAAACUCAGAAACCCUAGUGAGGCGACCCAGCAUAUGAGGGCUAUAGAUGGGACCCCCAUGGGGAAUUGAAAUGUUUUGUUCGCCCCUGAUGCCCGGGGGCUCCAUCGCCGACAUAGGAAUAAUUAGAGUUUCUUACUGUAUGUGGCUGGUGAGAAGUCAGCAAAAUAAAAAUGGCUACACACAAAAUGGGCUGCCGGAGCUGGACGAUAGAGGGUGCGAAGGCGCCGGUGGAUAUGGGGUUUUGGGGUUCUACACGGGAAAGAAACAGAAAAAAGAUAAUUUAGCUUACUUGGCUGUUCAUCCGUUUCUGUUUUGGCUUAAGAAUAGAACAAAACACUUGUUCUGCAUUUUUAGAAGAACGAAACAGAAACAUGUUUUUGUUUCAUAUAUAAACAUGUUUGGUUAAAUGAUGAUGUUUUUCUUUUUCUUUUUCCAAUUUAUCACAAACUUUAGUUAUAUUCUUUUUCAACCCUAUCUUCCUAAAUAGUGGUAAAAUACACUAAAAGCAACUCACAAUCCAAUUAAAAGUACAAUAUCAAAUUAUAAAUGAUCUUACACCAUAUCAAAAGAAAUAAUAGUUGAGAAUAUUUAUAAGAAUAAAUUAAGACCAAUUUGAACUCAAGUGGCUACAACUAAAUGAAAAAAAAAAAAAUUCAUUAAAUGUCAAAUAAUACACAUUCAUAGUGGAGUACAGUCUUCCUAACUUAUAAAAUGCCAUCCAUCCCGAAAUUGUAAUACUAAUCAAGCAUUCUUGGGGGAUAACCUCAUUGGGCCCCAGGUCCUGUGGUCGACCCUGGCUCUUUUGCCGUCUCGUAUAUACUCGGGGGGCGGGGUGCACGGACGCAGGGAGAUUAGUCUGGUACAAGUUGGGAUACUCCCUCUGUAGACAAAAAAUAAAAAAUAAAAAAUCAAGCAUUCAACUAAACUAGUUUCAACGUAUGGCUACAAAUCAAAAUCUUUUCUUUCACACUCCCAAAACUUUGAUGAACACCCUUCUCUCAAUAGCUUGAGCGCUUAACUAAGCAACUUUCCAGUAAGUCAUAUCUAUUAGUAUGUAGUAGAGACUAGAGAGGCAAUUUGAACACCACCACUAUCACCCCAAUAUGGCACCAAUCAUGCAAAAUUACUCGAUGGUUAUGAAAUCUCAAGAGCCCUCUUUUCAAAACUUGUAUUGACAAGCUUACUUAAUACUUGUGAAUCUCCUCAACCCUCUUUUCACAGCCUUUUACUGAAGUAGUCAAUCCCAUUUGAAAUGGUUGUCCCAAAUUUCUCUCCUUGGAAUGAAUCAAAAUCCCAUGGAUAAUAAGAAAAAAGUGAAGUAAAAUCCAAAAAAGAAAGAAAGAAAGAAAGAAGAUAAUACAUAGAUUAAAAGUCAAAUAAUACCAUAUUAGAUUGAAAGUAAUAUGGAAGGGAUAGCCAGUUACAGUUAGUGUGUUUAAGAGAGAAAAGAGCUAAUUAUCGGGAAAGAAGAACAAAGAUAGAAUAUUUUUUUAAAUUACCGGGCUAGGAUAUUUUUGGUAUUUACGUUGAUGUUGUUUAUAUGACUUUCACUUGGCUUGUGUUCGUGAGUCUUUUUUUUUUUUUUUUUUUUUAAAUUGGCUGUAAACGUUUGUCAUCACUAUUUUCUGCAAAUUGGGUGUCCGGAUGAAAACUAUUACGACACUAAGCACGGGCUUAGCUGCUUAAGAUUGGCCGGCCGGCCCAACAAUGAAAUAUGUUAAUGAAAUAUGUUUUGUGCUGGACGAUUGAUAUAUCCGUUAAUUCGAGCAACUAAUACGAUAUUAGGGCAACGACGUAUAUCGAUCGUGCUGGACGAUUUCCAACAAUCUGUUAAUGAAAUAUGUUUUGUUAUUUUAAAAAAAAAAAAUCCAUGUUACAGAUUAUCAUCGUCCAUAAAACUUGAAAUCCUGAACAUGUGCUGUAAUUAUUGUUUAAUCCAACCAAACCGCGCCUAAAUAUGAGGUUAAAAGAGUAAAGAAGGGGAAUUCCAUUUGUCAGAUUUAUCACUCUGUUUCAACAAUUGUCACUUCUCAGCAUUGGAUAUCAUUUGUCAAAUGAACGUUGUAUGUAUUCUGAUGCCUUGAAAUAAGCUCACUGGUAAUUUAUGUUAUAGUUGAUUUUUUUUUUUAACUGUUUAAUUUAAUGAAAUGACGACUGCUUAAUAUUAAUCACCAAGUGUUUUACUAUCUUCUUCCAAUCUGGAGUUAGUUUAUUUGCAAGCAACAGAUCGAUUGAUUGCAAGGGUCCAAUAUGGUCAAUGAGGCUACCAGUUCUUUACAGAGAAAUUUAUUACAGUAGGAUUUUUUGUCACAACGCCCAAGUAAAUUAAUCCUCACAAAGACUUUACUUAUUUGUCAAUAUUUUACUUUGUCAAAUGACAAUAACAAGCUGCAAAAUCUUCAAAUAGAGUAUUAUUAAUUCCGCGUUGAAUUUGGUUUCUGCAUUUACUUUUUCCUGAAUUCGAAUACACAUGAGCAUCUUGGAUGGUUAACUGUUUUCACACAAUAAAUAAAUUCUUUCCUUCUUUCAACCCAAUACAGACGAGGAUAAAUUGUGUAAAUAACGCAAUAAAGGAAGGUAAUUGUGAGGGGUAAGUAAUGCCAAAUUAAACGAAACUGCACCAAUCAAUAGGUUUUUAACUUUUUCUCUGUGAUCAAUUUGGACAUUUGGUUUUUUUCGUGCCUAGCUAGACAACAAUAAAUAGUUAUUACUAUAUCUCCUUAAUUGAUGUUUUAGCUUUUUUUUUCUUGGUGUCUAUAUUGAUUUGUACGUUUAUAAUGCAGUUAUCACUUAAAAUUUUGGAUUUCACUGGAUCAAUUUAUACAUUUACAAUGCAAUUUAUCACUUACAAUCAGGAGAACUCCAACUGCCCUUACUGAGCAGGCUCUGUUUGAUAAUCAAAUUCAGAACUUGAAUUGAAUAUAUUCGGAUCUUUAAUAUGUUCAGACGCGUUUGAUAACAAAAAAUUGAACAUCUAAAGUAAUUAAAUGACACUGGAUUUUCUAGAUAAAAUUUGCUCCUAAAAAUAAGGAAUAAGUUAUUCACUUAUUAUUGAAUGUAAUAUAUACUCAAAUGUAUUUGAUUUAAUACUUAACAAAAUAAUAACUUAAUAGAUUUCAGACUUCAAUUUUAUCAAACGCACCCUUAACUCAUGUUAACUAACCAUUGAUAAUAUAAGACUCUAACGCACAGAAACACUAUACAAUUAAGGGUGCAUUAUUACAAGUGAGAUGAUGAUGAUGCGAUUCACGCCGGUUAUUAGAGUAUCAAUCAGACAUUAUUAUUACUCAAUUUGGCUUUUACAUAAUCUACAAGUGUACGCCAUUAAAUAAAUCUUCAAAGUUGAAAGUGGCCUUUGUGAUUUUACAGGUCCACGACGUUUUUUUUUUUCUAGGAAAAUGUUCAACUUAGUAAUACUUAAAUCAUCCACCAGUUCUCAAGAACUACCUAAUUCUCCAAUAUUGCAUCAAAGGUCUAAUCAUCCUAAAACUUGUUUAAUCACAUGACUAAUUUCACUUGUUCCCUAAAACUUUUGCAUAUUCUCGCUGUAUACCUAAAUUUAUUUCCAAUCAUUUGGACCCUAAAAUUAUCGAAGGACUUCAAAGCACCCCUACUACACGUGACACUCCGCAUCAAUGAGAGCAGGCAAAGCAUAAAGUUGCUUUUUUUUUUUUUUUGAAUUAUCUUAACGACUGAUAUCAGUUUUCAUGCCUAAGAAAGAAGUACGUUGCAAUACACAUAACGCGACCAAUUACUAAUAAUUGAGGGGAUUGGAGUGAUUUGGGACGGGUUAAUACCUCUAUGGUACAAAUUGUUAGAAUUAGGGCUUGUAAGUGCAAAUCGAAAAUUGAUGAAAAUAUGAAGGGUCCAAAGUGGAAUUAGACCCUAAACUUGAUACAAUAUGUGGAGUUUUGGACAACAAUCAAAUGUAUUAAGUAAUGUUUCAAUUACCAAGGUCAUGUUUGCCGGCCCCUAGACAAAGUCAGACUCCAUGCAGCUUCCAUUUGGAUUAAUAACCAAGAAAACGACUGAGCAAAUAAUUUUUUAAUAGUAGUUAAUUUUUGUCAAAAUUUUGAAUUCAUCAGCCAUUAUACAUUUCUUCCCAAAUCAGCCAACCCCAUACCGUCCCACGAACAUCUACUUGUCCUUUUUUUUUUUUUUUUUUUCCAACAAAAGCUCUGUAAGUAGUUUGUUUUUCAAUCUCACUUUUGCCGUUACGGCGGACUGCCACCUCCACCUCCUUAAACGACUACCCGCCAACUUCGGACUUUUGUAAUAAAAACCAGAAAGAAAGGGGAAAAAAAAGAGAAAGAAAGAAAGAAGACACUCUCUCUAACACACACACACUAAAACAGAGUUUGGAGCUGGACCUAUUCUUGGUGCUAUUUUUUUGUCCCAAUAUUUCCUACUGAUUUUCCAAAGAUUUGUGGUUCCUACAAUUCCGAGGUUCAACAUGUUACGGUCCAAAUCAUCAAGGUAAUAACAGAAAAUCACUAUCCUUUCAAGUCUUUUUUUUUCCGCUCCUCUUAUCUGGUUAACUUUUUCUUCUUUUACUCCAUUUCUGACGAUCUAUUGCUUUCUCUCUGACUCGUGGUAUAUUCUGAUUUUUGGAUACAUUGAUAUAUGUGAAUUCAUGGGGUCUAUUUUAUUGGCAUGAAGAUAUUGAUUUAUUGACUGAUGUAAUGAUAACUAAAGAUUGUCUUUUUUAUGAGUUUGGAUUUGAUUUGUAUAAAUAUAUAUGCUGUUUCUAGAUAUGGGAAUGCUGAUUUUGGACAAAAGAAUCAUCCAUCAGUUCUUUCUAGGACCCUCUCAGCAUCCAAAUUUUGUAGAGGUGAUGCUUUAGCUUCACAAAUUGAUUCCGGCGCCCUUAAAUCUGUUGGAAGAAGAUCUGUUGACAGAUAUCCCUCCAAGGUUGCCAAUUUAUCCGAGGUUUUGGGACAAUUUGUAAUACAAGUUGUCUCUUUUUUGUCUUUUGAUGUUUCUAGGAUAGGCUGUUUUAUGUAUAACUGAUGAGGGGUUUGUUAAAUUUUCUUGGUGUAGAAUCGGAUAAAUAGAGUUUCGACCAUGCAAGAACAAAUGAGGCAGGCCGAGGAUGAGUUGAAGACGUCAAAGGAACAAUUAGAUUUUGCUGAGGAUGAAAGAAGUCGAGCAUUCAAUGAACUCAGGGAGGCGAAACGAUUAGUUUAUGAGGCCAAUAUGAAGGUUAAUGAGGUAUUGUCCCCUAGGAAGACAGGGGAACUAAUGACAGAAGUUAAGAAUUUGAAGGAAUUGCUGGCUAAUUCACUGAAAGAAUUGAAGUUGAAGGAUGAGAAGAUUGAGUGUUUGAAGCUAGAGCUCCAAGAGGCGAAACAGUUUGAGUUUAAAUUGGCUGAGAGAGAUGCAUCAUUAGCCAGAUGGAAAGAGGAAUUUGAUAAAGUGAAGGGGUCGGAGGCUUAUGCAUUGGAUUUACUAUCUGCAGGUGAAAAGAGGAUUGAGGAACUAGAAAAUGAAGUUCAAAGAGGAAAUGUGUCUGAAGCCAAAAUGCUCGAUUCAUUAGCAUCCCAGACAAAACAGCUUGAGCAGAUUAAGAUUGAACUUGAAGAAUCUAAGCUAGAAAUUGCUGCUUUAAAUGAGAGGAUCGUGUCAUCUCAGGAACCCUCCAAGCAAAAUAGUAGUGAAUGUAAUCGACCUGACAGAAAGGGGGAAAAUGAAAUUUUGAUAGGGGAUGCUGGGAGUACAAGGUCUGAGCAAAAAUUGGCAAAGCAGAAUCUGUCUCUAGGUAAGAAGGAUGCUAAUAUUGCCUUGUCAAAUUCUAAGACUUCACUUGAUGAGAUGCAAUUACUGAAAAAUGAGCUGAAAUUGGCCAUUGAAGCUGAAGAAAAGAGCAAGAAAGCCAUGGAUGAUUUAGCACUGGUACUAAAGGAAGUUGCAACGGAAUCCAAUCAGGCAAAAGAGAAACUCAGCGUUGCAUAUUUGCAACUAGAACAAGUAAAGGGAGAAGCAGAACAACUGAAGGUUAUUGUAAGGAGCACUGAAGAAAGGUAUGAACAGCUUCUCGAUGAAGCCAAAAAAGAAGCAGAGCUGCACAGAAACACCGCAGAUAGAUUAAGGGUAGAAGCUGAAGAAACACUUUUGGCAUGGAAUGGAAAGGAAAUGGGCUUUGUGAGCUGCAUAAAAAGAGCUGAAGAGGAAAGGGCUGUUGCUCAACAUGAGAACGCCAGACUUUCUGAGUCUCUUAAAGCGGCAGAACAUAAGAUGAGAGCAGCAAGGGACGAGAGCUACAAACUGAGAGAUAUACUCAAGCAGGCUAUCAAUGAAUCUAAUGCAGCAAAAGCUGCUGCUGGACUUGCAAGAGAUGAAAAUUCUCACCUCAAGGAUAUUCUGGCCGAAAAGGAUGAAGCUCUGUAUUUUCUCACUCAGGAAAAUGAACGGCUGAGAAUCAAUGAGGUUGCAGCUCAAGAAAAUGUCAAGGAGUUAAAGCAACUGCUUUCUAUAGCAACAAGAGAUCGUAAAACUCAAAGUAAGACUGAGGAUGGGGUCUUGAGGUCCCAAAGUUUUGACCUUGGGAACAUUGAAGAUGAGACGAAACCUGUGAGAAAGAAUUUCAGCUUCAAUCUCAAGGAACUGAAGUUUUCAAAUGACACUGAAGAUUCCGACCAGACUAUUAGUCACGAGGAUCCUGAAAAGGCAGAGGCGCUCAAGGGUUCAAUAUUUGAUAGUUCAACUGAUUCGCCAAGAUCAGAACCCCGAAGUCCAAGACUAGUGCCUCAUCAUCGGAAAGAGUCUUCUUCUGUCUUUACAGAUGAUGGUGAUACGCCAAUGUCAGAAGAUUUAGAUCAUCUAGACAAUAGUAACUUCGAUGAUUCAGAUAGUGAUAGAAACCACCGGAGAAGGAGAACAAUGUUUCGCAGGGUUGGAGAUCUCAUUAUGAGAAAAAGCUUUUCACAAAAGGGAACCAUUAACUGAGUAGGCUUCUUUGGUUUACUUAGUGAUAAGAAAAGUCUGGUAAUAGCAAUAGUAAUUUGUAUAUUGCAUAGCAUACAUUUGUCAGAAAUGAUGGCCCCGGCUCACCUUUUUGUUUAGGAAUUUCAAAUUAAAUAUUCCAUUAUAGAUUUGUUGUUAUCAAAUGCUUGUGGAGGCUAUUAAAUUUAGUCAUCUAUAUCGUUGGUCCAUUUACUUAGUAUACUGAAUAUCUGCUUCCAAAUUUCCAACUACCAGUGAAAGUUUGAGCUUCGGAAAAAUGCUUUUCACAUUUCAUUGCUGCUCAUGGGUGACCAGAAAGGUAUGGAAUUCUCUUCUCAAGGCACUUGUGUGUAUUUUUUUUAGCACAAGAAUCCUAACUGAAUGCUUAAUUCUGAUCAGAAUCAAUAGAAUUACUUCAACUAUCUUAUCUUACCAAAUCUACUCUUGUUUGUUAAUUAUGUUCAAAAUUCUUAGCUAAUUAAACAACCUGAUAUUCUCUAUCUAACGAUUUUCUGUUUCUCUUUUUUUCCUUUUUAAUGACUUUCACACCUUCUCCAUACUCCUCAUAUAAUAUAUUUCAUCUUUUAUAUUAAUUUGAAUUUAAAAAUAAAUAUUGUCAUCUUCAUACCUAACAAUUUUAAGCUAAUUAAAUCAUAGAUUCUACUUUUUUUUGAAUGAAAAGAUAUAAGGUCAAAAUCGUCAAAUUAAACUUAUUAAGCAUUCAGUUAUAAAUAUUUAUAAAACAAUAUAAGUAGGUUUAGCAUUAAAAUUCAUACAUUCAUAUAUAUAUAUAUAUAUAUAUAUAUUUGGUUGUGUUCAUUCUCUGUUUUCCUUGUUACAUAUUGGUUUCGAGGUGGCAAAUAUAAAUCAGGCAUUGUAUUGCUGUUGUUGCAACUUACAAGAAAACUAUCAUUACUCCUCUGAAAAAACCAUGAUCAAUCAAAUUCGUGACCUAAUGGUAGGACUUUUUUUAAACAUGACUAGAUGUAUUUCACGGGGGGUGGUAGGAAGUAAGGAUGUAGGACAUACUACAUAUGAUGACUGAUCAUAACAACAAAUAAAGCAAGAUAAUCUCCCAGAAUCUACCAGUACAUUUUCACAAUUUGUUAAUUAAUUGGUAGUAGGUGCAGUUAAAGAACCAUCAGAGGAGGUCCCUUGUGUUCCACUCAAGCUCCUGUUUGGAUUGUAAGUUAUUUGGGAUUAUUUGGGAUAUUUUUACUGUAGCACUUUUUGUGAUGUGAUGUAUGUGAGAUAAAAAGAUAUUGGGAAGAUAAAAAGGUAUAUUGAAAAUUAUAAAGAUGAUGUAAGCAAAUAAAAUUGGGGAAAUAUGAAGCAAUCCAAACAAACCAAAUUUAAUAUUUGUUUUUUUCAAAUGUUUUGGAGUCACGUUCAAUUUUAGAAGACCCAUGCAUGGACUCUAGUUUUUAACAGUUCUAUAGAAAGCACAAAUAAAUAAGACGACAAUCACCAAAAUCUCUGCCUUGCUUGAGAGGAAAGUGCCCUUGGAAAUGGCCCUGCUCUUAUUAAUUAAUUACUUCAGACACCAUAUGUGUUAUGACACCGUAGCCACCAACUUCAGCUUCAGCUGCUCUAUGAUAUGUUAAUCGUAGAAAGUUACUCCAUCAAUGCAGCAUACUAUAAAAAAAAAAGGGUAAAUUUUAUACCUAAUUUUUAACAAAUAUACCUGUUUUCCUCCUUAACCCUCAAUUCUCUCUAUCGAAAGAAUAAAACAAAUGAUUUUUUUGAUCUGUCUUUUGUUUAAUUAUAUCAGGGCAUUUUGGUCAUUUCCUCUAUUUUCGUUAAUUUUAACGGAUUCCGUUAUCUUUACAAUUUAGUUCAAAGUACGGGGUGUCGUGUUGUAUAUUUUGAAACUACAGGAGGCUUUUCUGUAUAUUAGGUUUGGUGCAAGGAACUUUUUUGUAUUUUAUCCUAAAAAAAAAAAAAGAAAAGUCAUUUCUCCAUCCUACUUUCAAUACUAUUUUUGGUAAACUUAAUGUUGCGUUUGUUCCAUAAUCUUGGAUGCCACACCAAGACCUCUCCCAAGUGACUUUAAAGUCUAAGUACUGAUCAUUAAAUUCGCAAGACAACACGUAUAAAUUGACGGGAAGAAUUGAUUUAGUACGUUUAGGCCUAAACGGAUCGGGGGCCUCUCCAGUUGAACUUUUCCGUUCAGUCGCAUAAAUUAGUUCAAUUUUAGCGUAAAUCGGUACAAUCUUGAUCGAAAAUCUUAUACACAUUCCGUAACUGGACAAAACUAGGAUUAGAGACGUCCCAUAAUCCAUUCCACGCGCGCUUAAAAUAUUCGGCAGAAUUCAACGCAAAUGAUGAUAUCGCGAGCCUUCGUGGCCAAAACAAAGAAGAGAAGGAUAGGUACCAUUAAUUAAGCCCAAAAUCAAGCAUUAACCAGUGCUUGAAAUUUGCUCAUCAGCCUAUGCAUCUACGAAGAAAGAAGAUUGUCUUUGGUAGCACUCUAAAGUUGUUUUCCAACCACAGUUGGUCGAAGGAGGACAUCUUUCUAAAUUUGCCCCUCUACGUUUCACUCCCUCUUUAAACUAUACCAUCGAUCUACAUCAACUAAUCAACCAAACACUCUUAUCACCACCUUCUCUACUAUAUAAACCAGGUUUCAGAGGAGCUGAUCAAGAACCAUAAAUGGCUGCUUCUAGUCUACCAUCCUUGAGUAGUAGCGCGAUGGGCAUUUUCGUUACUUUGAUGGCGCUGUCGCUUCUCCUUCCUCAGCAUGCACUGGGCAUAACCCGGCAUUAUGAGCUCAAUGUACGUUAAAUGGCAAUAUUGAAAGAACUAAUCAGAUUGCAUUCAUUUUGGUUCUUCAUCAUCAUCAUCAUGUAUCUUUAAGUUGUUGACAUCGAUCUUUUGCAGAUCACCAUGCUUAAUGUCACGCGGUUGUGCCACACAAAGAGCCUGGUGGCUGUGAACGGGCAAUUUCCAGGGCCUCGCAUUGUUGCCGGGGAGGGUGAUCGUCUCCUCAUCAAAGUCAACAAUCAUGUCUCAAACAACAUUACCAUCCAUUGGUACGUAUUUCAUCUUCCAUUGGUACGUAUUUCUCAAACAACUCGUGGAUAAUGUAAGGUUUAUGAUCGAAAAAGAAAAAGAAAAAGAAACCUCGAUCGAUGAUGGUUUUGUGUAAAACAGGCAUGGCAUUCGGCAGCUUCGAAGCGGCUGGGCUGAUGGACCAGCGUACAUAACACAAUGCCCGAUACAAACAGGCCAGAGCUAUGUGUACAAUUACACCAUUGUUGGCCAAAGAGGAACUCUGUUCUGGCACGCUCACAUUUCUUGGCUGAGAGCAACUGCAUAUGGUCCUCUAAUCAUCCUACCCAAGCAUCACGUCCCGUAUCCAUUUGCUAAACCGUACGAGGAAGUCCCCAUCAUCUUUGGUAAUUAAUUAACUACCCAUAUUUUGCAACAAAAAUUUACUGCAACAAGGAAUGAGUUUCCAGACUCUGAAUUAACGUGCAGGUGAAUGGUUCAAUGCCGACACCGAGGCCAUAAUUAGCCAAGCUUUACGAACAGGUGGUGGUCCAAAUGUCUCUGAUGCCUAUACCAUCAAUGGACUUCCAGGGCCUUUGUACAAUUGCUCUACUAAAGGUACACUUUGUGUAUAAUUAGUAAUAAUAAUUAACAACAGCUAACACAUUGAUUAUUAACUCUACAUAUAUAUAUAUAUGUUUUGGACAGAUACAUUUAAGCUGAAAGUUAAAGCAGGGAAGACUUACCUUCUUCGGUUGAUCAACGCUGCACUAAAUGACGAGCUCUUCUUCAGCAUUGCAAACCACACUCUCACUGUGGUUGAAGCGGAUGCAAAUUACGUUAAACCCUUCGAAACAGAUACGAUCCUAAUUGCACCUGGACAAACAACUAACGUUCUUCUCAAGACCAAGCCCCAAUUCCCCGCUGCCACUUUCCUCAUGCUGGCUACACCAUAUUUCACAGGAGCUGGAACCUUUGACAACUCCACCGUCGCUGGUAUUGUAGAAUAUGAACAGUCUACGUCACUUAAUUCCACUACUGCAAUUUCAGUGAAGAAACUCCCACUCUUCAGACCCACCUUACCUGCUCUAAACGACACAUCCUUCGCCGCCAAUUUCUCGAAUAAACUACGCAGUUUAGCAAGUCCACGGUACCCUGCAAAUGUUCCCUGGAAUAUUGAUAAACAGGUCUUUUUCACAGUUGGCCUUGGAACUAGUCCAUGUGACCAACCCCAAGGCUGCCAAGGUCCCAACGGAACCAAAUUUGCGGCAUCCGUCAACAACAUCUCGUUCAGUCGUUCGUACAACCCACCACAGCCCUUCUCCAAUCUCAUUUCUCAGGCCAAUCCAGUGGUGUUUACAGUCCAGAUUUCCCGUGCAACCCAUUGCACUGGUUCAACUAUACUGGAAACCCACCGAACAACACCAUGGUGGGUAAUGCCACCAAAGUGCUGGUGGUCCCUUUCAACACCAGCGUGGAAUUGAUCAUGCAGGACACCAGCAUUCUUGGUGCCGAAAGCCACCCGCUCCAUCUUCACGGAUUCAACUUCUUUGUAGUUGGGCAAGGAUUUGGGAACUACGAUCCAAACAAGGACCCCAAGAACUUCAACCUUGUGGAUCCCAUUGAAAGGAACACCGUUGGGGUUCCGUCCGGCGGUUGGGUUGCCAUCCGUUUUUUAGCAGACAAUCCAGGUUUGUAGUUUGUAUGAAUCCUAGUUAUUGAUUGAUUGUUUCUUUUGUCCAGAGGGCUCAUGACUUUGUUAACCUGUAUCUGUGCAGGAAUGUGGUUCAUGCACUGCCAUCUGGAUGUUCAUACAAGCUGGGGUUUGAAGAUGGCGUGGCUUGUCUUAGACGGAAAGCUUCCCAAUCAAAAGCUUCUUCCACCGCCAGCAGAUCUCCCAAAGUGCUAAUAAAUUUGUUCUCUUUUUUUGGCCUUUUGAUCUCCCUGUUCAGGUUUUUUUGGCGUUUGUUUGUUUGGAUAGAGUAUUAUUUGAAAUAUUAUUUAGAAUAAUUACUUUGUAGUACUUUUUGUGAUGUAAUGUAUGUGAGAUAAAAAAAUGGUUAGAAAUAUAAAAAGUUGGAUUGAAAAAUGUGUUUAUGAUGCAAACGAAAUAUUAUUUGAGAUAUUAGUUUCCUCCGCGGCUUUCUGAUUCUAACCUUCGUUAUCGAGGUUCAAUCUUCAGCUCAUUGGCCAGUUCUAAACUUCUAAUCCAUCUAUUUUAUGGGAUUGACAUUCUUUUACUACUUCAUUUCCAUAUUUCCAAUUAUCUUGUUGAGUUUAGGACAGAGACAUGGAUAUGUGAUUGUUAGGGUGAACCAACACCAAGAUUUGGAAUUUUAAGAAUUCAAUAAGGUUAUGUAAUGAAAUGUCAAUGAUAUUGCCAAGCUUGGAGCAUCUGAUGGAUUUCUUACAUUAAGUUACACUAAUCUAUGAAAAUUCUCUUGUGUUUAUGAAGUUCUUAUUGAUUUCUUAUAACCAAUUUGAUCAAAUUGCACAAAGGUCCAUUCAAUACUAAGUCUCUUUUUCUUUCUUUGUUGGAUGAAGCUAAAUCCACACCUCCACAAUUAAAUCAGCAUUCUUAUAACCAAGAUGAUCAAAGAGACGAUAGCAUUUAUGAGGUUUGAUGGAAACUUUUUCAAUAAAGAAAUUACCCUUUUUUGUGAAAAUCAAUGGUACUAAUUUGGAUUUAAAAUUUACAUAGUUACGAAUGGUCUUAAAAUAUUUCAUAUUUUUCUCAUUCACUUUGAUAGCAUUUAAAUCCAAGAAGCUCCCCUCCAGUAAUAGGGUUAAAAGAACGGAAACAUAAAAAGCCAUGGAAGAAGAAUUCUACUGGCCGGAAGGCACCUUCCACCACAUUCUCUAAUCUCUGUCAAAAAGAAAAAGCCCAAGUCGCUGUUUUGUCUAAGGAUUUGUUGACUGCACGGGAGACAAUCCCUAUAAUGGAGCUUGAUGACCAGUACUUUGAAAACAAGAAUCUUCAGUUCUUGCGCUGCCUGAAUCCAGGCACCUGUAGAGAAGUUAAAAGCGAAGUUCCAAAAUUAUGUCAUAACCACUUCAGCAAGAUACCAAGAACCAGGCGGAGUGCGUAUACAGGAGUUGAGUCUUAAUGACUCGGCUUCAUUUCUCGACGAACAGAUCAAAAUAGCCGUGAAAUAUGGUGUGGAAGUGAUUAAACUCAAACUUUGGGAUUAAAGAUAUGUCGUCCCUGAAAGCGUCCUGCAAGCUAAGUCAUUAACAGAUUUACAUCUUUCAGGGUGCAAGUUUCAAAAGCCGACUAAUACAGAACCAUACAUGUUUAAUAAAAUCCGGUCUUUGCAUCUUGUGGAUGUUUAUAUUGACGAUGAGAUGUUUGAAGAUAAUCAAGGUGAUCAAGCUUCACAGCCUAAAAGAAUUUGUUUUAAAUACUUUUGACCAGUGGACUGAGGAUCUAAUUAAGUAUCGAAGUUGAUGAACCAAGUCAUGAAAAUAUUGAGUUAGGGUAUUUGAGUCCACCUUGUCAUCUUGAAUUCAGGGUUCAAAGUCGCGGUCGCGGCUCGGAUCGUUUCAUAUCAGUUUCGUCAUAUUGGUUACGGUAUCGGCGAGACGUAAAUUUUUGAAAUAUUUAAUAUUUUUAAAAUUGUAAAAAAAUAUGAUAAACAAAAAUAAUUAAAAAAUUAAUAAAAAUAAUAAAAAUUCGCGUUGGCUCGGGAUAACUCGGAGUGAUUCGGCAUGACUCAGCCGUUUCAACCCUUCACGAUGACGUUUCAGCGAGUCAAAUAUUUCGAAAUCGUAUCGUUCUAAUAUCGUAUCGGGAGGGUAUGAGAUGGUGAUGACUCGACCAAGUCGUUUCGGACUCGGCCGAGUCUUUGAACCAUGCUUGAAUUGCAUGCAUCUAAAAAUCUCACAAGUUUAUCGCUGGAUCGUGUAUAUGCCCUGGAAAAAUUCUUUGAUAAUUUGACAAAUAAAUUCCCACAUUUUUAAUCUCUAUACCUCGAUUCAGUGUACGGAUGUGCAAGAAUCAAUGUAACAAGCCACUCACUGAAGCACAUUCGUGUCUUCCCAGGUGAACAGCCAAUGGAACUAGAAAUUGAUGCUCCAAACCUCAAGCCAAUAUUUUCAACGUCAAAAAGUUGCUUAAGUUCAGGUAAAUCAAUUCAGGGAUUCCAAACCCAAUAAAAUAGUGCUCAGAUCUUCCUGCGAAAAGAGCUCCUCAAGUUCAGGUAAAUCAAUUUAGGGAUUCCAAGGAUGAAAAGAGCCAAAAUCCAUGUCAAACUAUGCUCCCUGCCUGAGUGCACUAUCCAUCAAUGUGCUGUCUUACCUUAAUCCGAAAGAAAAGGCUCAAAUCACUGAUUUAACCAAGGAAUGGUUGAGAGCAUUGCAGACCAACCAUACACUGGAGCUGGAUGAUCGGUACUUGCAAAAGAAUAAUCCUCUCUUUCGGGACUUCUCCCAUCCAGAGGACUACUCAGGCUGUAGAGAAGGUAAGGAAAAGUUGUGUAAUUAUGUCAACAGCACUUCGCUAAGAUAAUGAGAAGAGCAUAUGAGGAAUUGAAUCUUGGUGUGGGCUUUCAUGGGAUUGCGAUUUGGCAUCUUUUCUGAACAAAAAGCUUAAAAUAGUUGUUAUAAAACGUAUGAAGGAGGUCCAACUAAUUAUGACAGAUGGUAUACUGAGCCUAAAAGCAUCUUGGAAGCUAAAUUAUUAACGGUUUAUAAUCUUAACAGGUGCAUGUUUGAAAAGCAGUUGAAUGCAAGAUUCCUGUGACACAGAUGAUUUGGUCCUCUGCAUUCAUAUAAGUUUUAAUUUCUAUCCUGUCUUUCUUCAUCUCCUAUAGUGAGAUCAUUAUAAAUCGAUCCCUUUUUGGGAAUAUUUCGAUUCAGUCUAGAUAGGUAUUUCAUGGUGUAACCGCAGUGUAGUUGACAUCCAUCAUGUACUAGGCCUUGACAUUUCCAUGCAAUAUCCGACUAAGAAGUUCAAUGAAGUAUGUGUUUGGCUGCACUAGGGACGUUUAUACUCCAAUUUAAACUGCAUGCACUAUAAGACAUAAUUCAAACUUCAGUCUCAUGAAUUGCAAACUCAUUCUUUACUGUUUUGAAGUGUUUGCUCAUGGUCACAAUUUGCCUGAAUUAAUGAUUUGAAUUGGUUGCUCAAAGUUUAGUUCACGAGUCCUUUAACAAUCCAAAAAUGUUUCAGCGUGUCAAGAAUUAUCUACAAGCUUUUAGCUCCUAACGAGAAGACCUUGUCGGUUUCAUUCAAAAGUAAAUUAUUGGCAGCUGUUCGGUUUGGCUACACAACUAAGAUGGUAAAUCUUUAUUCCUAUACAUUUCCCGGACUGCCCUAUGAUUCUUGUGAUGCGAGGGUUAUUUUAAUCGUCAGGAGCAGAAAACAGAUAGAACACAUCAAUGCUACACUUCAGUCUUCAGCUGUCGCUGUUGCCGUCCAUGGAGGGCGAUGAAACUAAAGCUACUUUGUUCUUCUAUCCAGCAAUUGAAAGGUAACAACAAAGGUCGUCACCAAAGGCAGUACAAUUAUUGUCUGAUUCUGAGCGUAAAACACAUCAGACUUUGAGUAUAACAUACGAUCCUAAUGGCCAACUAGCAUGAACCUACAGAUGAACAACUGCCCUCAAACUUAAGGCCGACAUCAACAGGGCUUACUUCAUCAAGCCAACUGUAAAGCUUAAAUUGCCAAAUGGAAAGACAGAGCCUAUCUGUUGUAUUCUCAUAAAAAGAAGUUCAACAUUGUAUUAAAACGGGCAUCCAUCUCUUCCAACAACUCAGAAAAAAGGUGCUGCAGAAAUAAUGGGAAAGGUGGAAACAAAUAGGCGUCCAUCAACCUCUUGAAGUAUGGGCCAACGUUGCUCUUUAAUGUCUAUUUCAGAUGGUUCGUGACCAGCCAAUAUGCUGGGGAAGCUCCAACGUACUACCAGUACAACUGUCUGAGUUGGGGGUUUUCAGUUUCAAAUUUCGAACUUUAAAUGCGCGUUAGACAUGCAUUCGCAAAGCUAGACAAAAAGUUCGAAUUCUACCUGCACAGUGGAUGUAUUCAAACUUGUUUCCUCAUUAAAGACUAAUUUACAGUCUAAUGCCAUAAAUGCCCCGGAGACUUGAGACAUCAUAUACUGAUGUGGAGCUUGUACGAAAAGGUCAGAAGAGUGGUAAAGGAUUAUCAGAGUCAACCCGAGGGAAAGGACAGAGAGCGCAGAGGUAUUCAGAUCAGCCAAUUAGCUGAUAAGGAUGAAGUGGCUCCCAAUGCUCCCUGAAAGAGGAGUGUGCAAAAUCCCCUUUUUUUUUUUUUUGGGGAUCCAGCGUCAAAUCCACGCCAAAAAGAAAAACAAAAAAUAGAUUUUUUUUUUUAAUGUUUUGAAUGAAUGGAGAACUAGUUGUUCAAGAAGAAUUUGACGAGCUCCAUCAAAAGGAAAGCAUGUUAAAGACCACAAGCAGCAAAAUGCAUUAAAUCCUUUAAGUAAAAGGAAAGCAUCAAGACUAUCUAAAAUAAAGCCCAGAAAAGCAUCAAUCUCUGAAGCUGAAAACAGCAUAAAAAAGCAAGAGCAGUGCCUUAACAAUAUGAAAUAACAAAGCCCUAAAACUAAUGAGAGCUCAAUAUUAGCUUCAAUCCGCUCCCUUUUUGAAUUUGGUAGCACAUUACAAUUAAGCAUAAAUUGAAAUCAAUCCUAAUACUUGACAGCUUUCUACUCAUUAUCUGGCUUUGAAGCUUCCUUGAUUUCUUCAGUGCCAUCAUCCUAAAUCAGAACCAGAAAUAAAUUUACUCAGCCUAAAUCAUCAAUUUGACUAAAUAAACAAACAAACAAAAGAAAAAGAAGAAACCAUUACCUGCAUGUCUGAAGUCCACAAAGUAAGGUUAUCACGCAAAAGCUGCAUUAUUAAAGUGCUAUCUUUGUAAGACUCCUCCCCUAGUGUGUCCAACUCCGCUAUUGCUUCAUCAAAAGCCUAACCACACCAGACAUACAAUAAAACAUCAUACGUAUUAUUGAUCUCAACUGAUUAUUUGGACAUGCAGCUAACUUCUCACUUGAGAAAUCUGGAAUCAGUGUCCACUGCCCAUAAACAACAAGAAAAUAGAAUAGGCAAGACAGAAACUGACAUAAACAAAUUGUUGAAAACUCAUCACAAACCUGCUUGGCAAGAUUACAAGCUCUGUCAGGAGAAUUCAGAAUCUCAUAAUAAAACACUGAGAAAUUGAGGGCCAGUCCGAGUCGGAUAGGAUGCGUGGGAGCAAGCUCUGCGUUUGCAAUAUCCUACAAAGACAGGAAAAACAUUUUUUUCACUUCACCUCACCAAUGAAAAUUUUCAAUUUCUUAACAGUUAGCCAAAAACGAAAACCAUCCUCACCAAAUACAUGCUAAAUGCAGGAAUAGAAAAAAGCUCUCUUUAUUAAUCCAUAAGAAAACCAGGAAAGAAAUGCAUUCUACCAACUCCUACUAGCUUCAAAUGCGCAUGUAAACAACUUGCUUAUCUUAAACCAAGAACAAAAGUCACACAUCCUGAAUUACAUGAAUGCAUAAACGAUAUACUUCAAACUAGCUUCAGAUCGGUUACGGAAAGUCAAAGGCAAUAAAAUAAUCUUAUUUCCAGUCUACUAAUAAAUAAAUAAAUCCAUAAAUAUUAAACUGUUGAACCUAACAAAUGUACAGAGAAUAAAUAAAUAGACAAAUGUAAAAAGAAAAAACCUGAGCCGCCUUGUAAGCCGAGAGAGUGUUCUCGGCGGCUUCCUUUCUCUCGGCUCCAGUUUUAAAUUCAGCUAAGUAGCGAUGAUAAUCGCCCUUCAUCUUCAAAUAAAACACCUUAGAAUCUCCAGUGGCAGCGGAGCCGAUAAGUUUGGAGUCGAGCAGCUUCAGAAUGCCGUCGCAGAUCGACGAAAGCUCAGACUCAAUUUUAGAUCUGUAACUUUUAAUAGCGGCCACGUGUCCUUCGUUGCCACGGCUCUCCUCUUUCUGCUCGAUCGACGAAAUGAUCCUCCAGGAGGCUCUCCUAGCGCCGAUCACGUUCUUGUAGGCGACGGAGAGAAGGUUGCGCUCCUCCACCGUCAAUUCCUCGCCGCCCUCAGCCGCGGAGACGACUUUUUCCAUGAAUUCUACCAUCUCUUCGUAUCGCUCAGCCUGCUCGGCCAGCUUUGCCUUGUAGACAUUCUCUUCACGCGGUGAAGCCAUUGGUGAGUUGGGGAAUUUUAGAGAGAGAAAGUGUGAAUUGUAGAGAGACAAAGUUAGAGUGUGUGACCGUGUGUGUGAAAUGGAAGACGAAAUCGAAGAGCGGUUUUAUGGAGUCCCCCGUUUUAGAGUAUUUUAAUAUUAUUGUGAUUUGUGGAGUCCCCAAAAAAAAAUUAGAAAAGAGAGAAAUAAGUGGAAGCGUAUUUGGAAAAUUUUGGGCUUCGACUACAAGCCCAAACCAAUAGAUAUUGAUCAUGGGCCGAGGACGGGACUAGUUCUUUUCCUGGAAGCGUUAAUGUGGCCGAAAAGAGAGUCCUCGAAAAGUCUUUCUCUGAGUUUUUGUUUGGAUAGUCAAUUUUUUUUAAAAAUUUUUGCUUGCACUAUAAAUACAUCUUUUAAUCACUUUUUUAUUUAUUCAACCAUUUUUCCAUUUCACAUACAAUGCAUCAUAAAAAAGUUGUUACAAUAUUAUCCAACAAAAUUUUCAAAUAAUCUCUUAUCUACACACACUUACUCGAAUGAGAUUAAAGGAAAAUCAAUGGUUCAAAAUCAUGUAAGUUUAUAUUUAGCUUUAGUCAAAGUAUAUAUUGUUGUGUUACAGCAAUUCAAAUGCAAAUUCAAAAUAAAUUGCAGUAUUAUUUCAAAAAAUUUUAAAAUGUAUAAGGAUUAUCCCAAUUUGAGACUUUUCAAACACCCAAUGAUUUAUUCCCACCUAAAUUUCCUUAACUGCACCAUCCUAAUAACAAUUGGCUCUGUUUGGAUUGUAAAUUAUUUGAGAUAUUUUUACUGUAGCACUUUUUGUGAUGUGAUGUAUGUGAGAUAAAAAGGUAAUUGGGAAGAUAAGAAGGUGUGUUGAAAAUUGUAAUGAUGAUGUAAGCAAAUAAAUUUUGGCAAAUAAUCCUCUAUCCAAAUACCGGCAUUUACACAAUCUUCACAUCUGCUAUUUCUUCUUGUUUUUAUUUUUCUUUUUUCUAUUUAAAGUAAUUUAUCCAACUUUUAGCAUUUAACUUUUUUUUCCCUUACUUCAUUUAUUCAAAUUCUCUAGAUUUUCAUGGCACCAUUUUAAACAACAUUGGCGCCAAUGGUGCUAAUUAUUCAUGUAUGACCAAAAUCUGAAGCGGACGGUGUCCCUUUGUUUCAAAUCAUACAUUUAAAGGGGCAAAAUGAACUAAAAUGUUACUUUAGUAGCUAAUGUGAGACUUUGUUAUAGUCUAAGAGCAUCUAAUGUAAUUUGGUUGAAUAUAUAGAGUUAAAAAUUAAUAUAUAUGUAUCUAAUUAUAUAUAUAAUAUUUAAUUUAAUUAGCUAAAACUUAUAAUAAUGAUAUUAUUAGUUAUAUGCAUUAUAUAAUGUAUAUUAGUAUAUGUAAUAUAAUUAAUAUUAUCAAUUAUACUAAUAAUUAUACAUGUUUACUAAUAAACAUUACUAAUUAGUUAUACCAAAUUUAUUAAUACAUUUAUACUAAAUUUCUAAUUACACAUAACACAAUAACACUUUUUUCUUAAAAAAAAAGCACGAUAAUGACUUAGUGAUUGUAUUUGUGUUAAAAGUUAAAAUUUGACUACUUUAAUUGUAUUUGUUUCAUCUGUUGGAUUGUAUUCAAAUAAUUUUUGUUUGAUUGUUUUUAUGAGUUUCAAUUGUAAAAUUAUAAUAAAUAAUAACUUGGUGAUGUGUUCAUAUUUUAUUAUUUAAUUAUUUACUAAAAUUUGAAUAUAAUAAAACUAUAUAACAAAUUUUUUUAAUCCUACAAGUGCUCCCGUGGAGGAAGUGGGGCGAGGGUAGCGGAGAACGGGACUGGGGCUGGGGGAAUUAAUGGCGACGGAGCGGGCGGGAGAGGGGUCCCAGCCCCGCCCCCGUUGGCAUCGCUAAGUUCCCACGAGUUAAUCAUUGUUUUUUUUUUCCUCCGGUCAAGCUUAAGGGCGAAUCGUUCUUCACGCGCAAAGAUUGUUGCAGGCCCAUCAAUGGACGAUUAUUGCAUUGACCGGUAACAAUGAUGCAAGGGCGACUUUGGGUUCUCGAUUAGUACAGAGUCAAGAGUAGACUCAAAACUGACCAUAGCCAUUUGCAUCUUGGGGCCGGCAACGUUUCACCCAUUUUCUUUGUUUUUUUUUUUCGACGUUAUUUAAUUUUUAAGGUUGAAGUAUACAUAAUUCAAUAGUGGAUAAUCUUAUCCACAACCAGCCAGUAUCAUCCCUUAUAGGAUAAUCUUAUCAAAGGAGGGAUAUACCUAAACUCUGGGGACGUGGAAGAUGUCAAACGAUGUAUAUACUAUCAUAAUAACAGAAGUGUAUAUAUUGACAAUCUAUAUAAAAUUAAUUCGAUCAUAAUUUAAUUGCAUCCAAAUAUAUUGACUAGUUAAAAAUGUGAUGUUAUUUUUAAGCAUCACAUCGUAGGUAAUUUUGCUAUCUUCCUAGAAUUUUGCAGUAGGUCUAACUGGCUCUUAUUUGGAUGCAUUUUAAUGUUUGUUAGAUACUUAGAUCAUCUCGUUUAUGAUAGAACCGACCUUAGUCGACUUCCAAUCUUCUCUUCUCUAUGCUAUCCUUUGCUAUAUAUAUAUAUAUAUAUAUAUAUAUAUAUAUAUAUAUAUAUAUAUAUAUAUAUAUAUUCCUUAGCUCAUUUCUAUCAUCCGUGGUGAUAGUUGUGGACUCAAGUCUGGCUACCUUUGCUCCAAGAACUUCCCCUCCAUCAAGAGUAGGGCUGUCAACGACCCUGAUCCGGAUCGGAUCCGUCAAAUUUAUCCGGGUAUGGGUAGGGAUUUAAUUCCGUUACCCGGAUCCGAAUCCGGAUCCGUUUUGUCAAACAAAAAACGGGUCGAGUAUGGAAUAUAGUAUUCCGACUCGUAUUGGACCCGGAUCCGGAUAUAAAUAGAUUAAUAAUUUAAAAAAUAUAUAUUUAUUAAUAUAAUUUGAUUAGGAUGAUGUAUUUGAGUAAUCAAUAUAAUUGGACCCGGAUCCUAAUCAAUAUAAUUUGAUUACGGUGAUGUAUUUGAGUAAGGUUAAUUUGAUUUCUUUUCUUAUUUGAUUUUUUUUGUAUUAGUUAGAAAUUAGUUUAUAAAUAUAUGUUUUUUUCUCAUUUUUGUUAGGAAUUAUAAAUUUUGUUAGUUUUUUUUUCGGGUAGACCCGGAUCCGGAUCCGGAACAUAGAGUAAAAGACCCGUCAGAUAAACGGGUCGGAUGCGGAUCCGAUAUAGUGUGCCGGGUCCGAGUCUGGAAUAAUGAAUUCCGGCCCGGACCCGGCCCGUUCACAGGCCUAAUCAAGAGAAUCCGAAGAGGACCCUGAUUAUGUUACAAGAAACAAUUAUGGUGGUUGAAACUUGCCCAAAAAAAAACAAAGGGAAACAAAAAAAGUGGUGGUUGAGAUUCAUGAUGGGUGUUCUCGUAGUUCACAUGGUCAUGCCUUCCACUGCUGGGUUGGAUUUUUGGCGUGGGGCUUCCAAUUUAUCACUUUGUUUCUUGAUAACCUUGGUCAUCCUCCUCCAUCUCCUCCUUUUCCAACUCUUGAACAAGUGGAGAAUGCACUUGGGAUUGUGUUCUUGUCCUCUUUUGCGGUAUAUAUAUCGUAGUGUUUAUAUAUCAUAUAUGAUGACCACUUGGACCUCAGGAGAUGCAGAGAAAGUUAGAGAGGAGCAGGAACAGGAACAAAGUUGCAUGCAUGGUUCCUACUUCCCAGCAGAAAGCAAUAGAAUAUGAUAAUGCUAUAUAUAGUUAGGUUUGACUGAGGAUUUUUAUAGCUCUGUCAAUUUCGAACCGUAUUUUGCCAUCGACCAUUAAGUUUGGUGAAUUUCUAUUUGGUCCUCCAAAGUAGACUGAAGUAUCGACUCAGCCAUUGAAAGUGCUUUAAGUAUCAAUUAAGGCCUUUAAAAUUGAGAAUUUGGUUUCAAAUCAAUCCUUCGCCUUUUGAAAUUAACAUUUGAAAGUGAUUAAGUAACAAUCACGGCCUCAAAAAAUGAGGAUUUUCCUUCCGCAUAAAAACCUCCCUCCCAUUGCUUUAAAGGUCGUGAGGCAUUUCAGGCUUCUCAAUAUAACUAAUUUAAAGAAUGUGUAAAACUAUAGGCUAAACAUUAUUGUAGAAUUAGUGAUUAGGAAAUUAACUUCCGUCUGAUAGAUUAGGGUUCAAUCUUGACCGACAAGUUUGAUAUAAAAAGGGUAUGGUGUAGUGGGGGGGAAAAAAGUAUUUACAAAAAAAAAAAAAAAAACUAAACACCUAAGUAGGGUAAAACUUGCGUUGGAUGCAUGUUGUAAGCUUAUCCUUUUUUCCAAUAUAGUAGUAGCAUAUUAGCAUGUCUUAAUAGGGCUUGGCUAUUGAGUAUUAUUGAUUUAAAUUGCUUUCUCUUUCUUACUUUCUGUGCAUUCGGGCAUUAGAACUUCAAGAUUGUUGCUUGUUCAAAAACUCGUCUUUUUCCUCCUAUAUAUAACGUAUAACUUGGAGUAGAUCAGACGCAAUGAACCAGAUGACAAGCAUAGUAGGUACAAGAAAACGUACCUGACAUUUUAGGUGUAAAAGUUUUCUUUUUUGUUUUCCUUUUUAAACUUAGCACAUAGAAGCUCAACUUUAUUAGUAAUUUCUUCCAUCGCAAACAAACAGAAAAAGUUUAUUUGGAUAAGAGUUUAUUUGGAUGAUUUAUUUGAGAUAAUUACUGUAGCACUUUUUGUGAUGUGAUGUACGUGAGAUAAAAAGGUGAUUGAGAAGAUAAAAAGGUGGUUGAAAUUUGUGAAGUAAAUUUUUUUAUUUGAAAUCAAGUCUAUCCAAACAAACCCGAUCCCCAUCUACUUGAGAACGUCAUCUGCAAUUACUUGAGCUUUUUUGGCAGUUGAAAAUUUCUCAAAUUCCAUUGCAUCUAAGAUCUAAGAUACAGAAGAAGAUAGUAAGGGGGAUCAUUGUUUGGUGGUUCUGAGAAAACCCUUAAUGAUGUUUUGAAGUUGGUGAAUUGAGAUUGGAAGAGCAAGAGGCGAGAAGCAAAGCAGCAGACAUACUCAGAUCAGAGGAGUUAUUUAGCCUAUUUUAUGUUAUUUAGGAAAGAAAUUAAUUGGUUCAACGUCUCUAGAGCUUGUGAGUCAUUACUUACUUAUAUUUUGAGUUGAUACUGUCAUAUAUGAAAGAUUAAUCUUUAGUGAAUAGUUAUUUACUUAUAUUUUGGGUUGAAACUGCCAUAUAGGAAAGAUUAAUUUUUAGUAGUAAUACCUACUUUUAGAACCUUAAUGAAGUUUAAGAUACUUGGGUCAAAAUUAAAUAAAAUUUUGUACUAACAAGUAACCAUUUCUAAAGUUGAGAAAGCUUUAAAAAUUUAGUAUGGUGACUAAAGUUGAAAUAGUAAGAAUUAAAGGUGUUAUGUUGAAUUAUCCCCUUCCUCUCUUCCUCCCUGAUCCUUUAAUCCCACAUUUUCAUUUGCUUAAUGAAUAAAUAACAACAAAUUCUAAAACAACCAUUUCUUGAAACUGCUUUUAUGCGAUCAACAAUUUGUUUCUUUAGAGACCUGACUAGACCAAGAGGAAAACCAAGGAGAUGCUAUGACACCUCUCUUGGAUUGUUUUGGCUGCAAGUGAGGUUUGAACUCCCCAACUACAGUCCAAUAAGGAACUUAAGUCCCUCCUUGGUGACCAUUGAGUUCAAAUUUUAGGUGAAGAUGAACAUACACAUAAUUGCUUUGGUACAUUAGGAGGCGAAAAAUAAAGAAAAAGAUCAUUCUCCUGCAGGCUAAACUUUGGAUUUUGGUAAAGAGAGGAGAACCAAUCAAUCAGAGGUGGAAUGUCUCUUAUGGUUUUGUUUUUGGUUUAAACUUUGUCAUUACCACUUGCCGCAAGCCCAUAGUAUUCCCGACAACAUUAAAAACAACAAACGUCAUCCCUCAAACAAGGACAAUCGUUACAGCAGCUAUUUUAAUAUAAGUAUAUUUUUUAACAUAUUUUUUAAUUAUUUUUUAUUUUUAUCACUUUUAUAUCUCACAUAAAUCACAUUAUAAAAAAAAUAUUAUAAUAAUUAUUUUAAAUAAUCCUAUAUCCAAACAGUAAGCCCAAAAGCUAAAUAUUCAGAAACAGGUAAAUUGAGACUGAACAACCCCCCAUGUGCUAAAAUUGGUCGGUUUCUUUAGUGAUCAAUGAUAUCCACAAACACCUCAAUAGGGAUUUCACACCUCACAACGACCCCACCAAUUUGAUCUUUUGAUGAUAUUUCUUCCAAACAAAUAUAUUUUUUUGCAGUCAUUUUCUCUCUUGGAAUGGUAGCUAAUGGAUAUCAAACUUUCGAAGUUCGAGAAAAUUUCAUAAACUUGCACAUUGAGCACGAGUCAAACAAAAAAGAAACUUUGUUUAAAAAAUUCUACGAGCUUAAUCACCUACAACAAGAAUUGUUUCAAAUGAUCAACUUUAGAAGUUGCAGAUUGUUAAGAAACUUGAACAUUAAGCACGAGUUAAAUGACUUUGAUCAAGAAAUGCUGUGGCCUUAAUCACCUAAAAUAAAUUUUGCCUCAAAGGAUCAACUUUAGAAUUUUGAGAUUACUCAGAAUCUCCCACAAUGAGCACCACUUAAAAAAAAAAAAACCUUUGAUUAAGACAUGCUAUGAGCUUAAUCACCUACAAUAGCCCCUAACAAGCAGCUCGUAUGGUAACUGCUUUCAAAUUUUCACUCGAGGUCGUCAUUUCAGGCAGGUUCUGCACAGUUGUAUGAAAUUAGUCUGGUGUAAGUUUCAGACAAAAAAAAAAAAAAAUCACCUGUAAUAAAAUUUGCUUCAAAGGAAAAUUUUUAAUUGGUAAUUUAUGUUGAUUUGUUAUAAUUAAUAGUGACUUGUUUCAUUAAUUACUUAGUGAAUCAAAAUCCACAGCUAAUUCCCAUCAAUACUUUUGUUUGCCGCUUGUUUCCUCUAUCUUUAUCUCCUCGUCCCUGGAUUCGGGGUUGUCAAGAUCUGAUCCAGGUUGUGCGUAACAAAAGUUUCAAACAUAAUGCUGAUGUAAUUUUAUGGCAAGCCUUUAUAGAAAAAUUAAAAACCAUUGAAUAUUAAAAGAUAUUUAUUGAUUAUAUAAGCACAUCUUCAUCUAACAUUCUACCACACUUCUUUCAAAUAAUUUAUUUAUUGUGAUAAGCCACAAACUUACGAGGUUCUCUUACAUAUUUUCUCCUAAUCCUAAAAGGGUUAUCUGUGACAGGAGAAAUGAUUAAUAGUUAACACUAAUACUAAUUACAUACGUACUUAGUUAGAACUAGGGAUUAACCUAUCAAGCACCGCAUUAACUCAUUGCACCUAUGAUUGACGUUCAUGCGUUAACGCAAUUAAAUUGUGUUUAGCUUACUAUAUAAAUACAUUCAAACACAGAGUAAUUAUACUUCUGUGUUUAGAUAUUUUUUAAAUUAAUUAUACCUUUGUUUUAAAAGACUAACACCUGAAAUUUUUAUUAAAGAAUAUUUAUUGAGCGCCGUCACUCAUCCCAUGAAUUUCACCAUUUUUUUUAAUAAGCGAAAGGAGUUGAAUUUGAAAUUAUUUACUUACAAUUCCUUCCAAAAAAAAAAAAAAAUCUAAAUCUCAAGAGCUCAAUUGAUAACGUGUCGCGUGUCACCUCAUUACCCAGUCACAUCGCUAAUCCGUGAAACCCCACCAGUCCACCGCAUAAUUUAUUAGCGCCCGGUCCCUACUACUACAGUCGAACAACACUUGAACUAUAAAGUUUUUAUUCCCUUACUAGUAAUUGCAAUCUUGUUCAGAGCUGAGACUUCAAAUUGGACAUUUGAGACACAAUUGCUAUAUAUAUGCCUUUCUCCCUCCUCAUUUUCGUAACAUUCCUCUUGGAAAGAGUAAUCUCUUCUUCCUUCUUGGUUGCUUGAGAAUUAGCCCAGAUCAAGAAAUAGGCAGAGAAGAGAAGGAACAGAGCGAAAAAGAAAAAGAAGAUGUCAUCUUCAAUUGUGAAAUAUGCUUCUCAGGAAACUAACAGCACCCAUGAAGAUAAUAAAGAGCGGAUUGAUUUGCUACAUGGGUCUGAUCUAACGGCUCCUAAUCUGUCUCUCCCAGCUGAAACCUUACUCCAAGCAGCCAUUUCUUUGAAGGAUAAGGUAUGCAGUUCAUUAAAGAUUAAAUUUUUAUGUAAACAUCACUGGGAUGGUUUAUUUUUAUGUGUAUUAUUGUUAGUUGGUUGAGAUGUUUGUUGAAUGUUGGGUGGUUGUGGCGGGCAAAUGAUUAGGUGGUGCAAGUCACAUGGCGAGGACAAUGGAACGAUUAUGGCAAUACGGAUCCAACUAUGUAUACGGGUUUGCUGGGAACAGCUUUCACCUGCUUGCGGGCGUAUGAGGCUACUGGUAGUCUUCAGGACUUGAGCUUAUGCACUGAGAUUGUUGAUACUUGUGCUUCCAUUGCUCGUUCCUCCACCAGGUUAGUGUAAAAAUUCAAUCUUUGUAGUGGAUAAGUACAUGUUUAUGUUUGAUGCGUAUGAUUAAGAUGAUGACAUCGAAUUUUUUAAGCAUUACUCUAAUAUAAUAUUUGACUAAUUUUUAAGGUACUUGAAAAGUUUGUAAAAAGGGAUAUGCUGAGAAUCUGCUCUGACUGGCUCUGCUCUCUAUUUAGAUGAGAUGAGAUUAUAUAUCCCAUCGCAAAUAUGUCACUGACUCAUCUAAGUUUUUAAAUGCUUAGGAUAUUAUAUCAUACAUAACAAAAGCGUGAGCUGAAUUUAGUGGAUGAUUCUCAUGUCUCAAGUGUUGAGACAUUUUGAAUUUUUUUUUUUUUUUUGGUAUGACAUGGCUAAACCUUGGGAUGUAUUGUUGGAAGACAAUUUUAGAUGCGACAAUUUUUCUCCGAACUCCUAAGAAUGGAGGUAAAAGAUCAUGAAUGUGGUCCAAAUAUAGCUAGCAUAUGGGGUUCAAGUUCAAGAUAUAUUGAUGUUAAACAAUCUUCUGCUGUUGGACUGUGGGAUUCAAGUGUCAACCUAAGUAGAAAUCUGCUGAUUUAAGACUCAAGGACUGUAGUUGUCCGCUUCAUUUGAUGAUCAUUUGCUUCUUGCUUUUUUCCUCGUUUUGUAGAUCCCUUGAUGAUAUGUGGUUCCCACUGUAAUCCUAUGAAAUUGUAUUGGAAAAAGAACUCAUAUUCAUGUUGUGGUUAUUCUUGCGCUUCCUAAAUUCCUUUUUAACUGCUGAGGACUGUAUUUGAUCUUUGAUGCUUCAAGCAUUGAGGUAAAAUGAGAGGAGAGAAUAGGGAAAGGAGAUUCCUGGGACACUGUCAAAACCAUGGUCACGGGAAAAAGGACUAAUUUGAUUCAUUGGAUUCCACAUGCAAGAAACUUAAAUUAGCUUGAUAGAGAUAAAGUUCAUAAAGCAAUGAUCAUUUUCUGGAAAGAGAAGAAAGUGAAGAAGAAGGAAAAAAAAAACUUAGAUUUUGGGCAAGUAAAAGCCCAUGGAAUGAAUGUUCUACUGAGCUCUUGCUGUUUGAGUUAUAUAUCUAGUCAUUUAAGUUGGUACUUAGUUUGAAACAUACAUGUAAGACUUUGAGAUUCAAGGAUCGUGUUAAACAGUGAUAGUGAUUUACUCUCUUUCGUCCUUGGACAAUUGUCAUUAAAAUGAGAUGUGUAUGUAAUAUGUAUAAAUAUUUUUUCCAUUAUUAAAAAGAUACCGUGCAACUUUUUGAAAUAUCAAAUGCAUAAAUGUACAAUUACAGCCUUAUCUUUGCAGCAUACAAAUUUACAAGAUCUUUUGGCUGUAAUAAAAGUGAAGGGGACAGGUUUAAUAUCUGCUGCAAUAUCUAAAACAAAGUAUGAAUUUAUAUAUUGCUGGGCUAUUACCCAAGGAAUCUUGUUUCUGAUUACGUCUUCAGGAAGCUUUUGAUUCACUCAUUGCUUUCUCAUUCUUAAAUCGUGGAAACUGUGUUUGGAUAGAGUAUUAUUUGAAAUAAUUACUAUAAUGCUUUUUGUGAUGUGAUGUAUGUGAGAUAAAAAAUAGUUGGGAAUAUAAAAAGGUGGAUUGGGAAAUGUGUUUAUGAUGCAAGCAAAAUAUUAUUUGGGAUAAUUUAGCAAUCCGAACACACUCUUACAUCUUUAUUGAAAACUGUGGACCAGGCACUUGACUUUUCUGUGUGGGAGAGGAGGGGUCUAUGCUCUUGGUGCUGUGGCUGCAAAUUAUUGUGGGGACCAGCAAAAACGUGACUUAUAUAUGGACAGAUUUUUUGAGGUAUCAGGGCUAUAAUUUGCAUUUCUUUUCCCUUGUCCUUUUGCAUUCAGUGAUCAAACCAUAGUAAUAUGAAUUAACUACUUCGGUUUGGCAAAUCUGUGCUGUUGGUCAAUGUGUGCGUUUAAAUGACUGGUGACCUAACUUGUUCACUUAUGAUAGACCAAAUAUUUACUCAUCAUGACUGCAGCAUGCAGGGAAGCAUUUACCUGAUAUGAAUCUUUUUCCAGGAUACUUUGUGAAAUUGCACAUGACGAUAAGAUCAUAGUUGAUUAUAGCUCUGACAGUCUAAUUAAAAGAUGAUUUCAGGUUACUUUUGGUUUUAUUCUAGUGUCAUACGAAAGUCAAUAUUUAUCAGCCAGAUUCAUCUAUAUGAUUUUAGACAAAGACAUCUCAUUAUGCAAAAGGUACUUUUAUCAAUUGGUUUUGUCAACAUUUGGAGGAUGGAACCUGCCAUCUUUUGACUGACAACCACCUUCUUAGAAGUAAAAAAUUAGAUGUCAAUGGCGGAGGUUUAUGCGAGAGAGUUUUAAACUUUACUUAAAACCACUAGGUGGGCUAACAAAUCACUGCAAAAUUUUUUCAAAAGUUUGUCGAGAGGAUCCAACAGCUUCUUGGCUUUCCAGAUGCCAGCAUGUCUUUAUUAACAGAAAAAUUUUUCCCUGCUGUCUGUCACUGAUUUCAAGUCAUAGUAUGGAUGAGAAAGAUUAUGCAGCUUUGAACAACUGGCUGAAUUUGCUUUUAUAGAUAAAUGGGUUGUGUCUGAACCCACUGUGGAUAAAAUGAUUGAAAAGUUUAAGUGGACAAUGAUGAUAGGCCUCCGUCCUCAGGUUGAUUCUUAUGUUUUGGCGUAUCUAGGAAUCCAUGUAGAUAUCUUAGCUAACAAAGUAGCUUCCGCAUGGACUCAGAUCUGACCCAAGGGAACCAACUGGCUGGGGUAGGGUUGAACUAUCUCUCUGCUGGCAUUAGCCCUAUCUCAUGCCUCUGGCGAUUAGUAAACUUGUGCUAAAUCCAUGUAAUCCCAACAACUUUGAACAUUUAAUUUGUCACGUGUGUGUGGCAUUUAAAAUCCUCCAUCAAGUUCUAGAUGCUCUUGGUGGUGCUGAUGUCUAAAUGUCCAAAUGUUUUGGUAGGUGGCACAAGAAAGAGCCCUGCCUGUUGGACCCGAGGAAGGUGGAUUUGGAAUGUCAUAUGAUCUACUCUAUGGACGUGCUGGUUUCCUGUGGACUGCUUUGUUCAUAAACAAGCACUUGGGAGCAGAAGCAGUCCCUAGUGAUCUUCUUAUGCCAGUUGUUGAAGCUGUGCUAGCAGGGGGCAGGGCAGGUGCUUCUGAUAAUGCGGCCUGCCCAUUGAUGUAUAGAUGGCAUGGAACAAGGUAUUGGGGUGCAGCCCAUGGCCUUGCAGGGAUAUUGCAUGUGUUACUUCACUUCCAAGCCCUUUCUGCAGAUGAUAUUGAAGUCGUGAAAGGGACCUUAAGAUACAUGAUGAGCAAUAGAUUCCCUCGUAGUGGGAAUUACCCUGUAAGUGAAGGGAACCCAAGGGACAAGCUGGUUCAGUGGUCUCAUGGUGCAACUGGCAUUGGUAUCACCCUUUGCAAAGCAUCAGAGGUAAGGGGUUUAAUAUCAGACUGAAAUAUUCCAAAGAUAUAUUGUUACUGUCAGACAAAAUUGGUUAGAGAUAGGUGUCUGUAAACUCCUAAAAUUUAAAUGUCAAAAAGAAGUUGGCCUGAUAUCAGAGUAAAGUGAUCUAGAAAGACUAGAUGGGGAGACUAAAAAAUUUUUGCCAAGCAUGUAUACAGUUUGUUAGCAUGCAAAUUGGGAAGAGCGUCUUUAGGGAUUUCAAUAUUUACAAUGUCAAAAAGUGGUUGUCUUUUGUGUCCCUGGAAAACGACAGAAAUGAGCCCUAAUCUUGCAAAUUGAAAAUGUUAUGGUUCUCAAAGUGUGCGAACAAUGUAAGGUUAAUGAUCUUCUUUCCUUGGUGUGUGCAGGUGUUACCAAAUGACCGGGAAUUCCGUGAUGCUGCCAUUGAGGCUGGGGAAGUUGUGUGGAAGAGUGGGUUGGUCCAGAAGGUAGGUCUUGCCGAUGGUGCUGCUGGGAAUGCUUAUGCUUUUCUCUCCCUCUAUCGUCUGACUGGAGAAAGCAUAUAUGAAGAUAGAGCAAAGGCAUUUGCAACCUGCUUGUAUCAUGAUCAAAGAAAUGCGACAACUUCAAGUCCUUCUACUGGAGCAGAUCAUGCCUAUUCUCUUUUCCAAGGACUAGCUGGGGUUGCUUGCCUAUGGUUUGAUUUGCUUGCACCUGAGAAGUCCAAAUUUCCAGGUUAUGAGAUUUAGACUUUUUAGCUCAGAAGAGCUGGAAUGUGAAACGUAGUGUUGCUUACCCUGCAACUUCUACGUUCAGCCCGGCAGCGAUCUGAACAAUGGAGAGAACUCUAUAUUCUUGAAUAGACUACAUAUGAUACUAACUUCGUGUAUAUAAUAAGUUUAUAGCAUGACUCAAAACAUCGUGUGACCGGGAAAUCUCCUCAUCUUAUGUACAAUUAUGUCCUGGCAAACUUUCCCCCGCAUGAAACUUCCCAAUGCCAACGUAGCUUAACAACAAUCUUUACCAUGUUGUAUUGGUAGCUGUAACUCUAGAUUCGAUCUCGACCUCUCUCAAAAGGCCAUCACAUCUUUUUUGACAUGUUACUUAGAUGAUGGCUUUACUUAUUGUGAAUGCUACUCUUCUUAAAAAUUUGUUGCGUUGUCCGUGAUGUAUUGCUUGCCCAAAUUUCUGCUAUCUUAGCCUCUGGUAUGUGGCAUGAUUUGCAAGAAAUGGAGUUUGAUCCAUUGAACUGAAGCUUACGUGCUUCAAUUGUAAAUGUGGAUCCUUAUUGUAACAUAAACUGUGUAGAUGAAUACAUCCUACAACAGACAUGCCUCGGACAAAAAUGUCAAGUAAGCCAACCAAGAUUGCUGUCUGAGAUGCACUUAACAUUUGGCCCAGCUAUCGAUGGUAGGUACCCUGGAGGUUCCCUCCUCCUUCAACACUGAAUGAUUGCCUUGACAGGAAAAGUCUCCAUUCCUUGCAAGUUGCUGCGGUCCCCAUUCGUCCUCAUGCCUGCUGCCACCAAAGAAAAAGAAAUAGCGGAUGCUAGAAGCAAUCAAGGAACCAUCUUGGUGGAAAUUCCAGGACAAGUAAUUAUUAUUACUUGAGCAAAUCAAGCUAUGGAUUGCUCGUUUAUGCACAGCUUUUUAUUGGUUGUUGUAGUUUGACUUGUGUUCUUAUCCUCCUUUUUGUAUUCAUCAGCCUCUCAAACGUGGAAAAAGAUGGGGUGAUUUGUGAAAGGGGAAUGUAGUCCCGCACAAGAGCAUAAAGACAAUUUGCAUUAAAUUGUUAAGACAAAUUUCCCCCCGUGUUGGUUCCCUGUCAUAAUUCACUUUCCAGUCUGAGAAAUGAGAUUCAAUGGCGUUUGCAUUUCUUGAUGGGAGCGUUAAUGGUGGGAUGGAUUCAAAGGUCCUCCUCGCAGGUUAGCGGCUGAAACAUCUCUCCGUGAAAAUUGAUUCCCAUUUUCGAUUGUGUUGUCAUGCUCACAUGUAGUAAGUAGUCUCAUUUUUGCAUGUAAUCGUUGCAUUUGAACUCCACCAGUGAGUGGAUCGGAUGAGCUUUAGGUUUGCAGUUUAGGCCUUGUUCUCGAUUGAUUGUUUUAGAUUUUACAAAAUCUGACGAUAGAAACUGAUUAGAGAAUCAGCAAAAACUACUCUUUGGUUGAUUAUAGAUUUUAAUGUUUUCUAGUGAUUAAAAAUUUAUAAUCAGAAUAUAAAAUCAAUCGAGAGUAUCACAAAAACUGAUUAAAAUCUUUGAUCAUUUAAAAUAAUUAACCGAGAUCAAGUGCUAAUUAGAAAAAUAGUGAAACUCGGUUCUAGCUUGACUUUUAUUGAUCUUGAUUGAAUUAAUCGGUUCUUGAGUAGACAUGAUCGGUUUAAUUAACGUUCAGAUUUAUUAGAGGAUUGAACUAGUGCUAUGGUUGAUUUACAGUCGGUCUAAUUUUCAAAAGAUUUCACGUUACCAUGUGAGAUCAAUGCAACAAAUCACGAUUUGUUCAGAUGACAACUUGUUCCAUAGAUAGCUCUUUUUUGAACCCCUAUUUUAGGCGGGGUGAAAAAUGAUAAUUAAACUAGUUUAAUCUUAUAAAAAUUCAUUAGUCGAUAAGUGAAGGAGUGAACUCCUUUGCACUGUUCUAUUCACGUUGAAGUUUAAAUAGUCUGAGAAUCAAAUUCCAAGUCCACCACGUAGCCUAACUCUUGCGUUGUCUUCGUCAUAGCCGUCCAAGUCGUUUUAAAAUGUUAGCCAGCCCUCUUUUGUCCCUUCUUUCUCUUGUGAAAAGCAAUCGAAUUUGCGUCCGAUUCCUCCUAAAGUGUAACCCAUUCGAGAAUUACGUGCUCCAUGCAUAUACCGAGUACAAGUGUUGAGCAAUAAUAUAAACUAGUUCUUAAGUCACAAUUUGAUUCGUUUGCAGUUAACAAAAAAUAUGAUUAUUAAAAUUAUUUUUUAUAAAGUUUUUUAUGGGUCAGAUUCAUUUGUGACGUAGAUUAUCGUCUUUAUGACAUAAAUCAUCGUAUAGAAAGAUGACGGACGUUGAAUAGACUACGUGGGAAUUAGAAGUUGGUGUGAGAAAAUUGUAAUUAGUGAAUAAUUUGAACACAUAAGUGUGUGCUAAUUCAAAUAAAUAUCUGCUGAUUGUGGAAUUUUUGUUGAAUAAAUUGGGAUAAAUUUGUUGAAUUUUUGCAAUUGAGAGUAGAUUAGAAAUUUCAAAAAAUGAUAUCGUGUGCUUACACCACACAGUAACACUCUCCCUUUAUAAAUCAUAUAAAUAUACUUUAGUGUUUCCCAUUUGGUUCUUUACUUAUUUGGGUGAAAUAUUUCGAACGUAAGAAAAAUUUUCACGUAUAUAUCUUGGUUGUAAUUUCGAUUUAGAUCACUUCUUGUACGUUCUAUUAUUGAUUUGUUAAAAUGCGAGCUGCUGCUUCCAUUUCCUUUUUAUGUAUACGUUGCAUGUAAUAAUAAUGUCUUUUUAACUCUUUAGAUGAGAUAAAUCUUGCAUUUAAUAUGAUAAUUAUCAAUGGAUAAUUAGGAUUCUACAUGAUUAUAAUACAUCUAAGGAAAUGAACCAGUUGACAAAAAUGAUAUGCAUUGACAAAAAACCAGUUGACUACAAAUGAACUUCUCUGUGCUGUCAAACUUCGAUUGUCAUUUAAUAUUUGUUUAUUCUAUGUCGACAAAUUAAGGAUUCAUGAAGUAGCAAUACCAUAUACAACUAUUUUUUUUAAUACCGUUUGAAUUUUUUUACAAAGAAAUUCUAAAAAAAAAAAUUUUGGGUGUUAAAGGGUUUUACAAAGAAGUCUUUGAAGUUCUUUUUCCUUGAAGAGUUAGAAGUUCCCUUAGGAGAAAAAAAAAUAAAAUAGUUUGUUGAGACUUUUGAUUGAGGAACUUAAGCCAACAAAUGAAGAUGAAAUACACUGAAAAAUGCCGGAAAAUGAAAUUGUCUAGCCAACUUUAUUUUUAAAAAAAAUAGAAGAGGGGUGGGGGGGGGGGGGGGGAAUAAAUUGUUCUUGGGCCAAGACAAUGUACAACAAAUAAUGCGGCAAGUCGAAGUAAUUAAAUUUAGCCAAUUCAACCUAUCAAAAAUACAUACACAGAAAUCUAGGAAGAUUAGAGUAAGGACCACCAGAAUUGUAGCCUUGCUAUUCCUUGCAUGAUUGAAAACAACUUUUGCCAUUGCCCUUGCUGUUAUGCCACUUGGACUGAUUCUCUCAGGACAAUUCCUCUAGAAAAAGUUAGUGGCAAAUUGCAAAUGUCCAUCAUAUAUGUUUUCAUUUCUUUUCUUGAUGUGAAUGCUGAAGCAAGAAACAGAAUCAAGAUUGUCAAAGACAAGGGCUUUAAUUUAUCUUCCAAACCCUCUAAUAUAUUGUUCAAGGACUGAAAGAUUUAGGGAAUAAAUUAAACAGUAAGAUGACAUUAAUGGCGGAAAGUGAGGACAAGCAUUCUUAAAUAUUAAGGUUCGUUCUUUGUUAGGAUAACGGCCAAUAAGAUACCAUACCAAGUUGUUGUUGACUCCUCCUCCUAGAUAUCCCAACCAUUCAAAACUCGCCACGUGUAACCCCGCUCUCUCGGGAAACUCAAUAAGCUGGGAUGAUGACUGAUGAUUCGUGCACCAUAAUGCCUACUUAAGUUCCAGUUUGUAAGACUAGGACACUUCAUACACAGACAUGCCAGUAAUCCUACAGAUAGAGAUACCACAUAAAAACACAUUAGUUCUAGUGUUAGUUGGGAAAGAAAUAUAGUAAUUCAAUAGGGGAAGUUGUGCUUAGAUUGUAUACAUGCUUAAUUGAUUGUUUGAGGCAAGUUAUCGAGUUGAUCAAACAUAGGAGAUGGACAGGUAUGAGAUUCUGAAAGAUAUAGGUUCUGGGAACUUUGGAGUAGCCAAGCUGGUGAAAGAUAUCUGGACUGGUGAGCUUUUUGCUGUCAAGUAUAUUGAGAGAGGUCAGAAGGUCUGAUUCUUUUGAUCUUUUCUGCAGCAUAUGUAUUCUCAGUAUGUGUUUAUAGUUUUUGGUUAUGGUAUCAAUCUCUCUCGGAUUGUUCAUAUUGAUUAUUUUUUUGAAAAUCCAUUGUUGUUUGUUUUUAUAGAUUGAUGAGCAUGUGCAGAGGGAGAUCAUGAAUCACAGGUCCUUAAACCAUCCCAAUAUAGUUAGGUUCAAGGAGGUAAUGAAGCUUUGCUUGUUUUUAUCCCAUUUGGUGGAAUAGAUUCUCCUCCUAUGGUGUUUGCAUAUAAAAGAACAUUUUGCUGAAUUCUUUUGUUCUCUUUUAGAUACUGAAGAUAGUAUUUAUUAUCAUUGUCUUCUUCCCUGUAAGACUGUAUGGGGGCUUUUGCUUCAGCUCCAGUCAGCAAGAAAAUCAGGUUCAAUUCCAGAGCCAAAGGCCUGUACCAAGCAGAUGCUGGUUAUGGACUUUCCACGGUCUAAUGUUUGGAUUUCGAGAUUAAACUCCUGUCUCCGUAGCAAUGAGCUCAGCAGUUGAAUUGAUAUAGUUCAAAGCUUCAAUCUUACCAUAAUUAACAUGAAGUGGCUGGUUUGUCUGAAACCAUUACUAGAAGGCCUUUGCCAAAUCUAUCAAAACGAGUUUAAUAGUGUUAUUUAGUUAUAUUUGGCUACUCGAAACAUCUCCUAGCUGAACAUACUGCAUAGUGGUUACCUAUCAUUUUGUUUUUCAAAGAUGUAUGGUGACUAUAUUUGACUUGAGGUGAAGAGUCAAAGUCCUCUCUCUAUCAGAGAACAGAAUGCAGUGAUUCUGAUUUAUUUGCAUGCUAUAUCAUUUGGUAUUUUGAGCCAAUUUUGAAACUUUGUGCAGGUCUUCCUCACACCAACUCAUCUUGCCAUCGUAAUGGAGUAUGCUGCUGGUGGGGAGCUUUUUGAAAGAAUUUGCAAUGCUGGUAGAUUCAGCGAAGACGAGGUAUCCUUAACUCCUAAAAUAUUUCUGAUACUGGCAAACUUUCUUAGGAUGAUCCAUAUGCUUGGAAACUUACAGACUAGCUUCUAAAAGCUUUGAUUUGAUGCUCAACAAAAUCAACUUAUAUGUUUCCACUUUCGGUUGUUUAUGCUUUGCGCGCAGUUACCACUCUCACUAUAAUUGUCAUUUAUUUCAGGCAAGAUUUUUCUUUCAACAACUUAUAUCAGGAGUUAGCUACUGCCAUUCAGUGGUAAACUGAGACAAGAAGCCUUCCUUGUAAUCAAUAACUCAUCCAUUUAGUGCAUAGACUUUUGUCCAUCGCAUGAUAUUACACAAACUUUUGUUCUGCUUACAGCAAAUUUGCCAUCGGGAUCUUAAGCUGGAAAAUACACUCUUAGAUGGAAGCCCAGAACCACGUCUCAAAAUAUGUGAUUUUGGCUAUUCUAAAGUAUUAACCCCUUCUAUCUCAUCAUAUCUCCCGCAGGCUAUAAUGCAGUGCCAUUCAAUUUAGUAGCUAACAAGAAUGAUUCAUUAUUUAGUCCUCAGUAUUGCAUUCCCAACCCAAAUCUACAGUAGGAACGCCGGCCUAUAUUGCACCAGAGGUCUUUUGCAGAAAAAAGUAUGAUGGGAAGGUGAAUAAUUGACUGUUAUCUUUUCUUGACUUUAGUUAUCAUUGUGAGCCUUAAUUAAAACGAUGGACUGACUUGUUAGCCAUGGUCUAUAAAGAUUGCAGAUGUUUGGUCAUGUGGGGUUACCUUGUAUGUGAUGCUUGUUGGUGCUUAUCCAUUUGAAGAUCCUGAGGAUCCAAGAAAUUUCAGAAAAACAAUUAAUGUAAGCGUUGCCAUAACGAAUUUUGAAAUCAUGCUAGUUGACUUCUCCAUCUGCUUGUAUAAAACAUUAUUGCUGUUUGGAUUUUUUGCAGAAAAUUCUGAGCGUUCAAUAUUCAAUUCCUGAUUAUGUUCGAGUCUCCAGGGACUGCAAACACCUUCUGUCUCGAAUAUUUGUAGCUGACCCUGAAAAGGUCAAAGUCUAGACCCUUAUUCUCACCUUUACAUGUUAAUUAUUUCUGGUUUGAUGGAAGGGUAGUAAGUAACCGGAUCAAACACCUGCAGAGAAUAACCAUUCCAGAAAUCAAGAAGCAUCCGUGGUUUUUAAAGAAUUUGACUGUGGAAUUUGUGGAAGGAGAACAAGCCAGCAUUCAAGUGAACAGUGCAGCCAACUAUUCUCAAAGUAAUGAAGAGGUGUUGGCUAUAAUACAAGAGGCGACGAAAUCGACAGAGGGGCCUGGAGUUGGAGAAAAUUUCAUUGGAGGCAGCAUGGAUCUAGAUGAUAUUGAUGCUGAUUGUGAUAUAGAUGAUAUAGAGACAAGCGGAGAGUUUGUUUGUGCAUUAUGAAUGCUACUUCUCCAUAACAGUGAAUUUUGAAUUGUCAUCUAAAAUGUGAAAACUGCAUAUCAGAGCUAGUCUUUCAGGGGCUGUUUUAGUCAGUCAAUCGUUUUAUGUUUCUGGAUCUUGCUGUAUAACUAAUCUUCACUCCUGAAGUCCUUUUCAAACGAUUUGGAAAACCAUAGGUCGUUGUAAGAUAUUGCAUUCAAUUGGCUUUCUGGUAUGACAUAAGGAUUCCACAAUUGUCUCUGUCAUUGCUGUAGAUUUCAGAUAAUUAUAUAUAUCAUCCGAUGCAAGACUUUUACUGAAGCAGCUUGGAAGCAAUCAUUAAAUCAGGUGGAUGCAUACAUUAUUGUUAAACAAAAUUUGUCGGUAAAAAUAUACUGAGAAAAGCAGAAACACGCCCCUUAAGUUGAUUGGUUGUGAUGAUUAUCUUUAUCAUUCAAGUUAUAUCCUCUUCUGCUGACGAAUUUUACGCCUAUAAACAGCUUACAAAACAAAGAUUUUAGGUUCUUCUUUGGAACAGUAAAUGAUUUGGACAUAAAACUUGAAUCAAGCGAGACAAAGAUAUGCAUCUGUAUUGUAGCCACUGACUUUGCUAGCCCUUUUAAUAAUUAGGUAGAAAGAGUGAUGAAGUACAACUCUCGUCUUAGGCAUGUUAGAAGCUCCAUCAGGGUCCAGUGAGGCAUUUUGUCCAUCAGCCAUGCACUUAGUCGUUUUGCAGAGAAAUUAAGCUAAUAUUGGGAUUAGCUAAAUCCACCACUCAAUUGAAUGAUUGAUGGAUGAGACUUCUUAAAAUUGGAAGGAAGGGAUGAGAUUUCCAUGGUCUUUUAUAUUCACUUGCAAACCUAUUGAUUGUCAACGGAUGUUGUCAGGAUUAACCACUGAGUUUUGACACCAGCAAUUGCAAUCGAACUGUGUAAUCAUAGUUUAGGAUCAUAUUGAAAGGGUUGAAAUUGUGCCACGUUCUUCGAUAUUGAUUUUUAAUCGUCGAUCGUAUGACGUGAUUAUAGCCAAUUUACAUUGGCCACCUGCCACUAUAAUGGAGAAGAUUUUAUUAUUCAAGUUUAAAAUGCAAGAUAGAGGCAUUGGACUGAUCAUGACAAACCAUAUUUAAUUAUUUAUUCCUUUGUUUGAGAUGUGAUUUAUUUUGUAGGUGAAGGGGCUUGAGCUUCCACACUCACAAAGAAAAAAUAUGGAAGGAAUCGAAUUCGAGAUCACUCCUUACAUUCUCUUCUGAACCAUCCAAACUAUCUCACUUACACUAAAAAGAAGGCAUAAAAAUAAAUAAAUAAAAAGGUUUAAGCAAAGGGGCUUAAGCAUCCAUUGGAUAUAAAUCAAGCUCGAGUUCCGGAAAUUCUAUCUAAGGCAAAGUUCUGGAAUACUAUGUAACCUAGGUAAUAUUAACGGGCCUCCACAACAGCCCAAAAUUUUAGUCAACGAUUUCAUCCAUUUCUCUAAGUUAAAAAAAAAAGAGUAGAUUUUGUUUAAAAACUUCUACAAUCACCCCCUCUUAAAAAGUAGGUAAUUAGGUUAUAACUUAUAACUUUCUUUAAUCUAAUAUUGCUGAAAAAAUAGAUUGUAAAUGACAUAAUAUUUUUUGGUAUAAGAUUGUAAGCGUAAAAUAAUUAUCUUUUUAUUUUGAAGUAUAUUUGUAGGAGACAAUUUCAAUAACCUUAAAAAAGCUAAAUUUGACAAAAGUGUGUUUAAAUAUAAAAAGUUAAAAUGAACUCAAAAAAAUUGCACCUUCAGGCCCAUCAGGCCCAAUAUCCCAUUUUUAAGCCCAACUUCUUUUAUCCAGUGUUCAGUUUGACGAAAUCCGAACACUUCGAUCAAAAAGCUUAAAAAUUCUUACGUCGGCCCAGUCACAAAACCCUACAUCCCUUCCGCCUCUCACUCAUAUAUAAAUGCCUCAACGCCCCAUCCCGAAACCCUAAUCAGCAGAGUGAGGCACAGAGCAUUUUUAGAGAGAGAAAGAAGACAGAACAUUUCUUCUCUACGGCAGCCUCCACUCGUUUGCUUCAAUCAUGAAGGUUCUUCUUCUUCUUCUUCUUCCUCUAAACCCUAAUUCUUAUCUUUCCCUUUAUCUCGUGCUCUCUUACGCUUGAACAAUUAAAAAAAGGAAUGAGUUUUCUGUUAUUAGUUUCGAAUUUUUAUUCCUUUGUUUUGUUUUGGUGAUUGCAGUUCAACAUCGCGAAUCCCACCACAGGAUGCCAGAAAAAGCUUGAAAUUGACGAUGACCAAAAACUGUACGCCUCCUUUUUGUUGUUCUAGUGCAUUUUUUUACUGUUUAUUAAGGGGAUUUGUUAUAUUCUAGUUGAUUUCAAUUGCGCCGAAGUGAUUGCGUAGUGCAUUUGUUUUUAGGUAAUUUAGCUGAGUGGCCGUAUCAAUUUUUAGAAUUGUUAUCCUGUGAUUUCUGUAUUGAGUUUUAUAACUUAAUAUGAUUGGCUUAUUGGGAGGAAUGUCUCCUCAUAUUGGAGUUAAUUGGUCAUUUCAUCUGCGAUUGGCUUACUGUAAAAAAAUUUAAACGAUGUGAACAUGAACAUUUUAAUAAUUAUGAGCUCUUUUUUGGGUAGGGCAUUAUUAGCUGCACUCUAGUCGGAUUUGAGUUUCGAAAAGUAUUAGCUGGAGAAGUUCUUGGUUGUGGAAUUGUUGCUGAAACAAAGUAAAGUUGAAUUAUAUAUGCCUGGGUAUGAGGAUGCUGAGGUUGUAAAUUGGAACAAUUUGCUUCUAGUUGUGUUUUUAAGUUUCUUAUGGGAAUUAUUAUGGUAGAAAUAGCCAUGGGGCCCCUUUUAACAUGGUUUGGUGAUUGUUUAAGUAUUGUACUUGGUGUAGUUACAAGGCACUCUCUUAAGUUUCCAAUUGGUCUUGUUACGUGUGGGUAACUGUUUGUUUUCAUUGAUAUGGAAAUUGCUUUCGCCUUCCUAUUAUGUUUUCGAACGGUGAUGAUAUUUAUGGUUAUGAGAUUAGAUGCUUGCAACUUUUGGUGAUAGCUGGGUUAUGGUUAUUAGAUUGGAUGGUUGCAGCCCUUCCUGAUUGGAGCUAUUCUGUUUGAACUGGAUGAAUUUAUUGUUGCUUUUACUUUUACUGCAAAUUACUUGGCUUGAUAUGCUUAAUUCUACUUUUAACAAAAGGACCCCUGCUGAUUUCACAACUUUCUUGUUCAAUAAUUAGUCGCAUAUUUUGGGACAAGAGGAUCUCACAGGAAGUCAGUGGCGAUGCCCUUGGCGAUGUAUGUAUCUUGUUAGCAGUCUUUUAGUCAUUUUCUGUUGUUACAUUUGCAUCACUGUGCAGAAACAUGAACAUAACUUGUUUGUAUUUUGCAGGAGUUCAAGGGGUAUGUGUUCAAGAUAAUGGGUGGAUGUGACAAGCAGGGUUUUCCCAUGAAACAGGGAGUUUUGACUCCUGGGCGUGUCCGUCUCUUGCUUCAUAGAGGUCAGAAUCUCCAUGAGAAAAAAGAUGAUCAAACAGGCAUUAUUGCAAUUUGUAGUCACUUGAUGAAUUGUAUAUUUAACUUGAUCAGGCACCCCAUGCUUCCGUGGUUAUGGGAGGAGAAAUGGCGAGCGUAGGAGGAAGUCUGUUCGUGGAUGUAUUGUUAGCCCCGACCUCUCUGUCCUGAACUUGGUCAUUGUCAAGAAGGGUGAAAAUGACCUGCCUGGACUCACUGAUAUUGAGAAGCCAAGGAUGAGAGGUCCAAAGAGGGCUUCGAAAAUCAGAAAGCUCUUCAAUCUGUCAAAAGAAGAUGAUGUCAGAAAGUAUGUCAAUACAUACAGGAGGACUUUCACAACAAAGGCUGGUGAGUUUUUGAUUUACUGUUAUCUUUUCCUCCUUUUAUUCCUUCUUCAAGUUGAAAGCAGAUAUACUCUAGUGCGGAUUGUUGCUGAGUUUGUAUCAAUGUUUAUAUCGACAGGUAAAAAGGUUAGCAAAGCUCCCAAGAUUCAGAGGUUGGUUACCCCAUUGACACUCCAGAGAAAGAGAGCAAGAAUUGCUCAGAAGAAGAAGAGAAUUGCAAAGGCUAAGUCUGAAGCAGCUGAGUAUCAGAAGCUUCUUGCUACCAGGCUGAAGGAGCAGCGUGAAAGAAGAAGUGAGAGUUUGGCUAAGAAGAGGUCAAGGCUAUCUGCAGCCUCGAAACCCUCUAUUGCUGCUUAAGUUAUGAGGAUGCGGUCCUCAUUUUUUGGCUAUGAUGCUUUCUAUAUUCCUUGAGUUACUAUCUGGCAAAUGUUUGGAGAAUUUUGACUGCAAUUUAGGUGUGUAGUAUGAUUGACUUUGGAUUUAUGUUUUAAAGAUUUUCGGGUUCCGGACAGAGUUUUUAUUGGGUUUGACGAUUUAGUUAAUUAUAAUUACAACUUCGUUUAUUCAACUUCCUCUCAGAAAGAUGAGUUAGUGUGACAAAUAUUAUCGUUUGCAGCAUACCAAAGGAGUUUUUAACUUGAAAAAUUCUGUUGAUGUAAACAUUUAGCUCCUAGUUGGAUUAGAAGGAUAGUAUGAGUUUCAGAUGUAGGUCCCAAUGCAUCAACUGUCGAGUUGGAAAAAGUAUCAUGCACUCGUUGUUAUGAGACGGAAAUUUUAGUCUGCUUAAGUCACUGAUUAAAGGGAGUGGCAGUAACAAUGGCAUGGAAGAUGGAGCAGGGAAAUCCUCGAUGUUGCUGCUUUUGUUGGAACACGAGGGAAUGCUGGGUUUCGUUGAUGCAUUGUCCUAGUAAUUUACAGUAGAGCGUACAUUCCUUAGUGAAUGGAAGAAGGGUAGGUUGCAGAACUUGUCUAAACCCCAUCCUUCCAAAGCAGUUUUGGGUUUGUUUCUUUUUGUCGGCAGUGUUUCUUUUUGCCAAUUGACCGAGUCUGGCUAGUUCUGCGGCUUUGUUAUGGUUGCCACGAGUGCGUCUAGGGAAGUAGGAAUAUUUGUCAAGGCUUCUGUAAUUGAUUUCUUCCGCAGAGGACUCAUUGGUAAGUGAUACGAGAGCUUGUGUAUUGCAGCCUAAGUUGCGAACUCGAAUUUGUUAACGUUGAACAUUUUAUUUUCUAAUUGAAUUUCCUAGUAUACGAAAAAGUGAAAAGGGCUUCUCGUGGCAUUGGUAAAACUUUGCUUUCUCCAAUUGAAAUUUCCUGGUCUAUGAAAAAGUGAUAAGGCUUCUUGUCUCUUUUGAUUGGACAAAAAAUUUCGGGCAAAUUAUCGAAUUGGCCCUUAAACUCUUUGUCUAAGUAAAAAUAAGCCCCUCAUCUAUUUUUUGCUGACUUUAAGCCCUCGAACUUGUAAAAUUGGACACCCGUGACCCUUUUAGCCAGUUUCUCCGGUUUUGCAACCGGAAAGUGAAUUCACACGAAUGCCAGUAUGCUUUUAAGAAGGGCAUUUUUGUCAAGCAAAAAAGGAACAACUCAUCUCUCCUCUCUCCUCAUUGACUUCUCCACCGAUGCCGUCUCCCUCUCCCUCCCAUUCGUCUCCUCCCCUAUGGACACCAUCAAUGCCGACGUUUCCCAGAAGCCCUCCAAUCCUUCCAAAAUACACCAUUGCCACCACCCCCGUUGUUCUCACCGCCGUUAACUCCUCCUCAAUGCCCACCCUGCAGACUUCCGAGGCCAAAGCCCAACAAAUUACUGAUUCUUCCUCCUCCCCUUCUGCCAUACCUAUUCCGAUCACUGCUUCCUCCUCCUCUACCACCACCACUACCAUCACCUCCACCUCCGCGUCGACCAGCACUGCUGUUACUUCCACCACAGUUUCCACACCCACGGCAUCUAUGCCCAAGAAUCGGAGGCGUAGUGCUGUCCAAUCAGCUAGGGUUCUGCCCCAGAUCAUCAAACCCCUGUUGGCCGAAGGUGAAAUCAAUGCCGCUCUCCACCACCUCCGCGUUGUUGACCCUUUACUUGCUACCCUGAUCGAUACCCACCAGCCUCCGGCAUUUGAGUCUCACCACUCCCCAUUCCUUGCCCUCACCAAGAGCAUUCUCUAUCAGCAACUCGCCUACAAAGCAGGCACCUCAAUCUACAAUUGCUUUGUAGUGCUCUGCGGUGGUGAGACUGCAGUUCUUCCCGACGAUGUGCUGGGUCUAUCUACUCAGCAGCUCAAACAAGUCGGUGUCUCUGGUAGAAAAGCCAGCUAUUUAUAUGACCAUGGCCUCAAAUCAACUGUGCGUUAGCUACCGUGUUCUACUGUGUGUGGAAGAGAUCGAAAGAGGGGGUACUGAAACCCUAGCGUCGCGCGAGUUUUGAAUCUUUUGACAAAAAUGCCCUUCUUAAAAGCAUACUGGCAUUCGUGUGAAUUCACUUUCCGGUUGCAAAACCGGAGAAACUGGCUAAAAGGGUCACGGGUGUCCAAUUUUACAAGUUCGAGGGCUUAAAGUCAGCAAAAAAUAGAUGAGGGGCUUAUUUUUACUUAGACAAAGAGUUCAAGGGCCAAUUGGAUAAUUUGCCCAAAAAUUUCAGUGGUCAAUGAAUUAUUGUUCAACUUUUGAUCAUCAAAUAAUUUGUCGUCACAAAUUAGCCACUAAAUUAACUAAUCAGCAUAUUCGUCAUCAUUUCGUCGAUUAUUGCUCUUAAUCUACCAAAUAAUCAGAAUUGUGUUUUGGAAAAAAAAAUGCCCGUAUUAGGCAAAUAAAUCCUCAUAUUUUGACAUGUGUUCUGAUUAUUUUGUAGAUUAAGAGCAAUAAUGAAUAUUUUUUUUGUCAAAACACAAUUUUGAUUAUUUUGUAAAUUAAGAACAAUAAUGACGAAACGGUCAUGCGUGUAUUGAUUAGGUAGUUUAAUAGUUAACUUAUAACGAAAAAUUAUUUGAUGAUCAAAUGUCGAAAUGGAUAAUAUUUUUUUUCCAACAAACGUUAACAGCUUUAUAUAUAUAUAUAUAUUAAACUUGAUAUUACAAAAUUUAAUUACAAAAAGGGGACCUGCCCUCAUUUCCUUUCUUGCUAAUUCUAGCAGCCAUACUGGAAAAUCACAUUCCCAUUCUAUGUGUGGUGCAAAUUGAGCUAGUUCAUGGCUGCAUCUAUUUUCUGCCCUAUGCACAAAAGACAAGCUACAGCUUUGAAACCAUUGCCUUAACUCCUAAAGAUCUUCCAAAAGAGUUGCAAUGUUGUAGUUAUUUAGGGGGCGUUUGGUAAGAGGGUAUCGGAAUGGGGUUAUGGAAUAAACCCCAUAACUCAUGUUUGGUUUACUGGUAUUGGAAUUGAAAUAUUGGAAUGAUAUCUAAAAAUAUGUCAUUUCUCCAUUCCUGACUAAGUUCGUGGGUUUUGUCCAAAACCCAAAUCUUAUUCCCGGUCCCUCUUCUUCCUCUCUUUUUCAUUAUUUCCGUCGCCUUUCUCCCCCCAAUUCUCUGCCCUAAUUACCCCUUAAAAACACGACAAGCUGGAGCUUUUGCCGUGGGAAGAAGAAAAAAAACGAAUGAAAACCACAUCUGUGCUACUAGAGAGGUACGCAAGUUUUCUUCUGUUUGUUUUCUUGUUCCAAGUUCUCUAUUCUCCAAGUCCAUAAACAAGAAUAAUUUGUGCAAUAGUGGAUCUUCUUCUGCUGAUUCUCAAUCUUCCAUUUCCCUUGUAGAUUUUUUGCUCUUGGGAGCAGUAAGUACUAUGCUUUCUGUACGGUCCGGCAAAUCUGCACACUUUUCUUAUUUUGUUUUCUCUUCUGAUAUUAGCAGUUAGCAGAUCUUCAUGAUUCUUGAGCUUUAGUGCUUCUUUUUUGUGGGUUCUGGCUCUUUUUUGUUUUGUCUUCCGCUAUUGACUUUGUGGGGUCAAAAUGAAAAUCAUAGUUUAUUCCAUCAUCUUCUUGAAUGCUGAUCUCAAAUGCAACCCAAAAAAUGCAAAAGAAUCCAAAACCAAUAAGCAUCAGAUUUGUAUCAAUAGGAUGAAGUACGGAUCUGCAUCAUAUCACCAAAGGUUCCCCACUCGCAAAUCGAAUUGGAAUUUAGGCGUUACUCAAACCAUUGAUUUUGUGAGUUGAGUUAUCACUUGAAACCCACCUACUUCAUAUUGGUGCAAGAUUAGAAGUGCAGACCGUGGAAUAUUAUAAAUUUGUUAAAUAGCCUGAAACCCGCUUGCGGGUUUCCCCCUUAUGUAAAAUGACUAAAAGCUGCGUUUCUGUUCUAUUUAUAUCAAACACAUACUCUCAAACCCUCACCUGAAGGGUGAGGAUGAGAGGGGAGGUUUGCUGGGCAUCCUAGGGCCCUCCGAUGGGCAUGUGCAACUCAACGCAGCUUGCAUGUAAAAAAAUUUUUUUUUUUUAAGUAAUUUGUUAAAUAGCCUGCCUGAAACCCGCUUGCGGGUUUCCCCCUUAUUUUCGUCUAUUCACUCAGCUCCGUCUGUUUUGACGAUUUUCGUCCACUUUUCAGGUUAAUUCAAACCACGGGGUAUCGACUGGUAUGAUAUGAAACCACAGGGGGUUUUUAUGUAUGAUUGCUUAACCACAGGGGGGUUUUUUGUUGUUUACCCUUAAAAAUACAAAAACCUGCAUAACUCUCCCCAACAUAUGACAAGAUUAUUAAUAAGAUUUAUGUAAUUUUUCUUUUGAAACUCUAAGACAAGGUUUAUUGUCAAUUUUACAGGUAAGGUUAAAAUUGGAAAUUUAUUAGAUUCCAUUCCGAAAGAACCAACGAACCAAACAUCAAGUAUAGUAAUGAUACCCAUUUCAGAUACUUGAACCAAACAGAUGUAUUGGAAUGAAAGGUCUCAUUCCAAACCCAGGAUAUCCGAUUCCAAAUCCGAAUCCGAUUCCAAGCUGCGAACCAAACGCCCCCUUACAUUGCAUGUGUUGAUUUGAUCCGCCACUGAUUUGCAGUCUGUGUCGGCCUCUAUUUUGGUCCACCCUACAUUUUUUUGGCCUUCACUAAUGUAUUUCUUAUAGCUAAUGCUUCCACUAUGCUGGCUUUCACUCUUUCUCUGACGUACUAUCCUUUUUAAACAGCUGUUGAAUUUUUUUUGCCCUUUUUUUUAUUUGAUUGGUAAUGUUAAAACUUUGAUUUUUAGGUUUAGGAGGGACGAGCUGUCACGUUUAUCUCCAGAAAUGUAGAGCAAACAUUCGAAAAGAUGAAGUUACAAGUUGGGCAGGGCCAGCGACGUUGCAAAAUUCUCUAAAAACCCCAAAAGAUGAUAAGUUGUUUAUUUGAAUUUUCCAUAUUCUCUCUUCUAGUGGGGGAGCCACACGUGGCUGUUUCAAACUUAGAAAGUUUAAAAAUUUUCAAUAUUGUUCCCUAUUUGCCCCCUCAGAAAUUUUUAAAAUUCUCUUUCUUAUCAUACAUUGCCCUCCUAAAUAAUUGAAAAACUUCAUAAUCAUUACCUUUCACAAGAGUGUUAGAACUAUCAAAAGUUAAAUGAAGAUAUUAAUACAAAUGUAAUUUUCACUAUCAAUUCUAAGCACAAUUUAGAUUUGAAAACAUAUUUAACGUCGGAAAAAAUGAAUUUUUAAGAUAAAAAUGUUUAUUGAUUUUAAAAUCUAAUAUUACUAUAAUUUUUGUACUAUUAGAGUUUGACCCUAUAACUUUAGGGUCCUGACUGUGCCACUACUCUCUUCUAUGUGGAAUGUUUAAUUGAAAGAAUUAACGAGUUAUUUGGAUUUUUAUAUUUUAUUCAUAUUUGUAUCCAACUCUUUUAAAAUUAAUUUUUUGUAUAUUUUUUCUUUCUACUAACAAUUUUAUACUAAAAAAGGCAAAUUUUCUAUAAAAUCGUAGAGAAAGGAGAGAAAAGAUGAAGGAUUAUAUUUCAUUUUUUUAACUUGAUUUUGAAGGUCACUAUUUCAAUUGUAUUAUUAAUUUGAACAUGAUUACAUUUUCAUUAUUGUUUUUGUUAGGUGCGUCCUUUUUAAUAUAGCGACAUAAAUAUGAUAAUCUAGUAAUAGUAUUUCAGUAUGUUACAUAUAUAUCAUAAACUAGACCAAAAAAAGCCUAUUUCUAGGGUCCAUUGCAUGGAAAAAGACAAAAGAUGUGGUCAUUAUAGGACUUGUUCUAAAUUGAAUAUUUUAUGUGAUUACGGAUUCUAAUUUUAGUACUAUUUGUGAUGUCUUCAUUUGCUUCUAUAUUCAGAUUAUAGAUUUUUUAAUAAUUUAAAAAGUUAAAACUCAUAAUCAACUAAAUAGUACUUUUUGCUGAUUCUAAUUAUUUUAUAUAACCACUUUUAAUAAUCCAAUUUUACAAAAUCUAAAGCAAACGAGAAUAAGGCCAUACUCAUUCUUGUUUUCAUGUUUUAGUUGAAUUACCUAUUUUCAUAAAAUGUGGUUAGCCUAUAAUCUGACAAGUUUGCUGAAAUUUUUUUUUUCCGUAUCGAACAUAAAUAGUCUGCAACUAGGAACAAAAAAGGAGAGAGAGAGAGAGAGAGAUAAGGUUUUCUUGCUUUUUUUUUUUUUGAUGAAGAGAGAUAAAAGGUUGUAUGUGAUUACUUCGGGAGUGACGUCAAAUUCCAUAAGACUGUGUGUAAGCACUUCGCAAAUAUUUGGGAACCCAAUAGGGACCAGCAGGCACAACGGAUCUUCUGUCUCACACCCUGUGCCAUUCUCUGUCCCACUUUUUAUUAUAUUGCUAUUUCUCCUUCAUAAACAUCAUGUGGGACAGAGAAUGACACAGAAUGUGGGACAGAAGAUCCGUUGCGACCAGCAGGAUCUACUACAUAGACAAAAAGAAAAAAAGAGGCCAUCACGGUUUUAAUUGUAUGGAUCAAAGUUUUUAUUCUCUUAGUUCCUAGUUUGUAUUUUAAUAUUUAGCCCUUUAAUUUCCAUCAGGCGGCUGAAUUUGUUCAAAAGGAGUGAUAGGAAUAAUUUGCUUACAAUUACCAGAGUCUUCAGAUUUAAUGAUGAAGAAGUUAUUAGUGGAAUUAGGAUCACAAACGUGGUCGCAUUGUGUGCGUGAUUAGGGAUUCUAGUGACAUUAUCAUUAUUUUUUCGACUUUUUUUUUUGGAUCUCCUACCUACCAUCUCGCCUCUUAUCACUCAAUCCAAUCCAAUUCUCCCCACAUUAUCAUUAUUUGUUGAGUACAAGUGUUCUACAAUUCUCACCAACCUAGGGUACGCACUGAGUUUUAUCUAGAGAUGGUAAUGAGUAGGGUAAAAUUUAAUAUCUAAUCGACUUGAUAACUAAUUCAAUUAGAUAACUGAUAGAUUAUCUGUUAGGGUUUCAUAUUGAUGAGAACUUAUCGAUGUAUAACCCGAGAGAGUUUGAUAAGUCGACACUGAUACCCGAGAUAUAUAUAUAUAUAUAUAUAUAUAUAUAUAUAUGUCUCAAUUUUAUAGCACAAUAACACAUAACUCCAAACCAACUUGUUACACAAGCCUCUUUAAUAUGUAUUUUUGUUCUUUAUAUUUGUCUUAUAAACUGUUCUUUGUCAUGUUUUAUAUAAAACUCAUUGUUUGGAAAUGACCCUGAGAAUGAUUGUACAAGUCUUCUUUCGGAUAUUUGCUGAAAUUGCUGAUAGCUAGAGGCUUGAUUUAACUAGAAGUCUCAAAUGGAUACAAUUAUGAUUAAAAAAGGAAAAAUGUUGAUUCAACUCUUCAUAAAAUUUUGAAUUUUUUACAUGCAGGUUCUAUGGUUCAAUCCAUGUCUAAGACUCAAUCAAUGUAGUGUGUUAAUUUACCAUGAUAUAUAAAUUAAUUUUAGUUUGAUUAAUGUUAAUUUCUUUUUUUGAACUAUUCAAAUUAGCAGGUAGAGAAUACCUGAUGGGUAAUUCAAACUCGUGCGCAAGAGGGUUUGGUAAUACUAAUUAAAACCCGUAGGGUUACCAUAUGGGGUUUUAUAAAAAACUUAGAUAACCCGGUUAGGGUUUUGUUGAAAGAAUUUUGUAGGGUACCGAUCCGCUGCCAUCCCUACUUUUAUCAUCUUUUUUGAUAAAUUGAUAUAAUUUUUUCUAUCCAUAUGGAUUAAGUUAGUGAAAAAAAUUUAACUGGUAUGCUUAUAAAUUUAUCAAUAUUGCUAGAAACUGAAUAUUUGUUAAUAAAGAAAAUAAAUUACUUGAUUUUUUAUACUUCAUUACGGGUGUGUUUGGUAAAACUGAAAUCCGAAAUCUGAAAUCUGAAGUCUAAAUUCAUUAAAUUAUUGAAUUGUUAAGUACUAAAUCUAAUACAUUUGAGUGCAUAUCACAUUUAGUGAUAAGUGAAUAGUUUAUCACUUAAUUUUGGGAGCAAGUUUUGCCUAGAAAAUUCAAUAUCACUUAAUGAAUUCAGAUGUUCAACUUUUGAUUAUCAAAUGGUCUAAAUAUGUUAAUAUCUGAAUCUAUUAAAUUUAAGUGGUGAAUUGGGUUAUCAAACAGGACCUAAGUACGAAUACAUAGUUCUAGAUAAAUAUUUUAAUUAUAUAAAAGAAUAUCUAUUAAAUUGAAAAAAUAUCUGUCGAUAUUUUGACAUAAAUUACCAUAUUUGAUAAUACAUUAUAUUAUAAUAAAAGCAUGUAAAAAAGUUUUUAAAUUUUAGUAUGAUAUCAAUUUCUUAAAUUUAAUAUGAAUGAACAUUAGGAUCGUUGUUAAUUUUUUAUUUAAAUUAUUCAUGCUUGCACAAAUUCACAGUAAAUAAUAAAGAAAAUAAAGGCACCGGCAAAAUACUCCCACUUGUUUAGAAAAGGGUAGAGUGCUCAAAUUCACGAAGGCCUUCAAGAAGUCGUUCUGGUCAGCACUGAACAGCUUCUCUUAUUCUUCGUCCGGCAAUUUACCCAAUGUCUUAUCCAAAUUGAGAAGAUAUACUCCAUUGACCAUAAUCACUGAAAAGAAAGAGACAGAUGUCACUAUUCACCAAUUUUUCUAGGUCCGAUCCUCGUGCUAAUCCAAACUUACUCUGCAUUGCUAUUAAUUCAUGAAGGAGGAGGAUACUCAGGAGCUCUUCUCCCAGCUGAAAUGGAUAUAGAGCAGGAUAUUGUCAUUGUGGGAGCUGGUAUUUCCGGCCUGACUGCUUCUUUAGCUCUUCACAGGUACAAAAUUUAUGGUCUUGAUUUCAGUCCAAAAACUAUUCUACUGCUUUGUAACAUCCUUAGUACUUGACUUGUUAGCUAUGGAUUGCGGAGCUUAGUUUUGGAAUCAUCAGAGUGUUUAAGAACAACAGGUUAUGCUCUUACUCUAUGGCCUAAUGCAUGGAGGGCACUGGAUGCUGUUGGUGUUGGAGAUCAUCUUAGACAGCACUCUGUACCAUUUCGCGGGUAAGAAAAUGAAUUCAUCUCUCCUGUUAAACUUUUUGUGGAUCUCUACAUGCUUAUUUUUACUUCUGUGGCUUCUUCACAUGCUUAUGUUUUGGAAAUCGAACAGCGUCUUCACCUCUAUGUGGUAACUGAAAAGUGAAAAACUCCUGGCGCAGGAUUCAAGUUGGUUCUGUGGAUACAGGCUUCCCAACAGGCGAGCUUGCCUUCGAACAAAAUAAGUAGUAAGUUAUCCUUGAAGGGUUCUGGGCGAACAUAAAGCUUGGAGAAUUCAUAGAUUCAAUACUAAAUUACUAAUUCAUAGCGCCAAUACUAAAUUACUAAUCAUGCAUUAACUGCAACUCCGAAUGAAAUCCAAGCCUUGUAAAUUGUAAUGUUUUGUGUCACGAACUUUUUCGUUCUCAAGUCAGAAUUGGAAAGUUGAAGUUUUAUUUAUUUAUUUAUUUAUCUUGGCUCGUAAAUGGUGCAUAGUUCUCAAGCAAGUAACUUGUGCCACUGAUUUCCCUUUUAUGAUCAAAGGUAGGAAUGGUUGUACAAGAAUGCUCUAAUAUGACAUUUUGCAGUGGAAAACAUGAAUGUCGUCGUGUCAGAAGAAAAGGGCUACUUGAAGCCUUAGAGAAAGAGCUGCCACAAGGGACUAUCUGGUAUUCUUCCAAGGUUGUUUCAAUUGAGGAAUCAGGACAUUCAAAGUUGGUGCAGCUGGCUGAUGGCUGUGUUAUCCGAACCAGGGUAAAUGCCAUGUUUUUCGUACAGUAGGAAUUCUGUCUUUUAUCUCAUCACAUUAGAUUUUUCUGUUUCAUGACGUAAUUGAUAAUUAUCUCACCUUACAUGCGUAACUGAACACUAUUCUCUGAAACAUGAAAAGCUUUUUGUGUAUUAUGAUCUGAAUUCUUUCUACUUGAAGGUCGUGAUUGGCUGCGAUGGAGUCAAUUCAGUUGUUGCAAAGUGGUUAGGCCUUCCGACACCAAUCAGCGCUGGGCGAUCAUCAAUUAGGGGCUUUGCAGAGUAUCCGGCUGGCCACUUCUUUAAGCCAAACUUUUAUAUAUAUUUUGGAGGCGGGGUUCGCUUUGGAUUUGUUCCCUGUGAUGACAAAAGCAUCAGUUGGUUUUGCAAUUUUAAUCUAUCCAAUGCAACUUGUAAGACUCUUGCAUCAUCUAUUAUCCUAUAUGGACACCUACAUAAAAUGCUUUUUCUGCUAAACAAGUAGUGGCAAUAUGCAACGCCAGCCUUGUGGUCGUUUGCCUUUCCGCUUAAAUGUGCUAGAUUCAAGAUGACCUCCUUGCUGAUUCAAUUUUUCUCUAUUAUAUUUCUAGUUCAUGAGGGCUUUGUGUUCAUGUCUCCCAUUUAAUUGCAGGGCAUCAAAAUAUGUCGGAAGAGCCAGUUAAAUUAAAGGCAUUUGUAUUAAGCAAAAUUGUCAACAUUCCAAGGGAAGUAUCAGACAUUGUACAAAGAACUGAAGUCGGAUCAAUUUCCUGUGCUGAGCUAAAAAUGAGACUGCCAUGGGAUAUUUUGCUAAGGGAUAUAGCAAAAAGUAGCAUUUGCGUGGCUGGGGAUGCCCUUCACCCGAUGACUCCAGAUCUUGGACAAGGUGGCUGUUCAGCUUUGGAAGACGGUGUUAUCCUUGCCAGGUGCAUUGGAGAAUCUUUCCUGAAGAUACCGCGGAAAGAUGUUGGAGAUGGAAAAGAAGAUGUUGAUCCAAAAGUGGUAGCAUUCAAGAAAGGCGUUGAGAACUAUGCAAAAGAGAGGAGAUGGAGGAGCUUUAGCCUCAUAGCUGCUGCCUAUGCGAUUGGUUUCGUCCAAGCGAGUGAGAAUAAGUUCAUUUGUUUCUUGCGAGAAAAAUUCUUGUCUAUGUUAACUGUUGCUGCCGUGCUGAAGAUGGCUGAUUUUGAUUGUGGAAACCUUGAUAUCUAUCCACAAUUUUCCUGACUCUCAAGCAGAGCAUCUGUCUAUCGACGAUUUGGAAAGUUCUUUAAGCUUUCAAGUUACAUUCCCAUAAAGGUGAAAUUACGAAGGGUUCUGGUUUUCUUCUUCUAAACCAAAAGAUACAUCUGUAUUUGUGUGGAUUGAACAGCAACCCCAAACAGUUUUAAUCAACUUUAAUACCCCAUGAACCAGACUGUUAAUGAAGAAUAUUUAGGUUAAUUUUUUAAAGCUGCAUACUUGUACUGAGGUCAUAUAGCAUUUAAAUCAAGAUCUUUGCAGCAUUCGUAUCCUGCUGUUGAUGGACAAGAUGCAUUCCAAGUUUUAAACGGUUACAAGACCUUGCAUACCAGGAAAACAGCCUACUUUUGCAGUAAGUAGAACCAUGAUCGGCACAACAAAAACCUAUAGUUGCAUGCUACUGGUCUCUGCUAUGAAUGAGCAGUAUGCAAACAGAAAAAUAGAAAGAGCAGACACAAGUUGCAGGCUUGCAGUUUUCUGGUGCUCUGGUCAUUCAACUGAGACCAGAGUUCGACAAAAUCCAAACGACAUAUGAGACCAGUAACAAAAUUAGUCAUUCAACAUCUACUAUAUAUGAAGCAAAAUGUUAAAGCCUGGACAUCACUCAUCUUUGAUUGCUAGGGCCCUCAACCGGCCAGCUGGAUAUUUAGAGCAAGUAUUCUUUACUAUGUAGCAAUUUGUUUUACAGCAGGUAAAAGUACAGACUUCAGGAGCUCCCAGGAGGUGGUAGAGAAUAUUGGCCAACUUAGCUAGAGUUACAUUACUCAAAUUCUCAUUUAAAACCCAUUUGAUCUGUUUCACCUCCAAAAUUUACUAUUAAUGCAAGAUCAACAGUAAUAAUCCGAUUGUAACAAAUUUCUGCACCAUAAACACGAUAUUCAAUAAAUACCUAAGUUCACUUCUUCUUCUUUUUUUUUUCUCCCCUUUCAAGACUCUAGUAAGAUGUCCACAGGCCUCCUGUUAACAACCCUGCAAUUUUUUCGUAUCUCUCCAGGGCGGCCAGAUUGCAAGUCACCCAUUUUUAUCAUCCCUUGGACAAAAGCCUUGAAGAACUCGUUUUGGUUAGCACUGAACAGCUUCACAUACCCUCUAGUCUGGGGGAAUGUAUACAACGUUUCAUCCGAGUUCAGAAAUCCUCUCCCAUUGACCAAGUCCUUGAAAUACUGGUUAUCGAAUAAUUCAGGUGUUGCAUCCAAAUCUACAGUUGCAUUUUCAUCUCCACCAAGUGGACAAAGCUUGUCUAACUUUUCUCUGUAUUUUGGUUCAAUGGCAGGGUCUGGCCGGCCUGUCCCAGAUUGGUUGUAUAGACGAAACAUAACAGAAAAGCAUCUCCCUUUGCCAAUGGAAUGAGACCCAGAAAGGGCAACUAAAUCUUUAACUGAGAGAUUAAAUCUGUUGAAGAGAUCAACGAGAUAGCUUGCAUUUGCUCUGGGACUUGGCAUUAUAUCGUCUGAAUCUUUUUGGCUUGCUGUUAAACUGUCUAGCCGGCCUAAUUUUACAUCCCAGUUUGGUCCACCACUCUGUCACAACAUAUAAAUCAUGUACUAGUUUGUCUACACUUUCUGGCACAUAACACAUCGGUACAAAAACAAGGUAAGUAAACUUUGAUUCCAGCAGGCAAAAUUUUGCAAGCCACUUCUCUUUCGUUAACCAGGGAAACAAAUUUAGCACAGCAGUGACGUGAACUAGCAUAAAAUAUAAAAUCAUUUCUUUGGCCGAAUGGUUUAUCCCUGUACUAGUUAGAACCAACACAAAUUCGCGUUACAUUUAACCAUAGAUCAAGGAUCAUAUUCAUACACAAUAAUUAUCUAAAAUAUCUGGUUUCGAGAUCAAUUUUCACCUUUUACCUACUCUACUCUGCGUUGUAUGGUUGUGUAAUCAACUAGAAGGAAUGAAGGACCACAACAGUACAUGGCACAAGGAAACAUCUAAUCAAGGACUGGCUCUUCCUUGCCAUCCUUAACUUUCGUUUGUCUUUAUCAUGAACUAGGAUCAAAUGGGUCCUAAAAGUACUGUCAAAAUUUAAAAGUUUCUGAAUUGGAAUAAAAAGAAAGAAAGAACAAAGGAGUUGGUCAUUUUUCUUUGUGGGGGCAGAGCGGCUGGCGAAGCUAAAAACUCUGCAAUAUGUGACAAAUGACAAGUGUAUGAUAUUUUCUGAUGCUUAGUUCACAGGAGCAAGAUCAAGAUGGCAAUUCUUAC
rnacentral:lncRNA from 1 species